CUGAAUAAUUGGAUAUCGUAUCCACUUAAAGCUGCCUUGUGUAGUACGUCUUUGUUUGUGUCUCUCUUUAUAUUCCACUAAGGUCGGUGAUCUUGAUGCCACACACACUCAGAUGUGUGUUCAUCUCCAGAUACUACUCCAUGCUACCUGCCCUUUUUGUUUUGUUCAAUAACUGGGUAUCAUAUCCCGGCCAGUGUGCCAUCUAUUUUGUGUUUGUUUCCUUCUAGUUCCAAAGGGGUCAUCAUGAUGUUACCUUCUUUCGAUAUGGUGCUUUGCAUGACAACUGUUGUAUGGUACCAUCUUGUUGGCCAAUAAAUACAUCUUAUCCUAUGACCCUUUGCUAUGACCCUUUGCAAAUAAGUACAAGAUUGUUAUAAGCGUCAAUACUCAGUAUAAUUGAUCGCUGCUGUGAGUUCCCUUUCAGCUUAUCGUAGGCACACAUUAUUGCUAGCACGGUAAAGACAACCAACACGAAUGAUGAAGUAAACGUAGCGGUACUUUUGUAUACCAACACCCUUACUUAAAUGUACUGGUGUCAUUCCCUACUGGCACAUAUAUUCUUAUAUGCUAGCCAGAUUGGAAAAUUAACCAAUUAAAAUAAUUAUUUCAAGAUAGAAAUAACUUAUCGGCUUCUCGAAGCAUGUGUAAUUUUAAUUCAAGGACUCAAUGGAAGUUGAAUCACUUCAUCUAGAUUGCCUUCUGGAUUUUGGUUAACUAAAUUUAACAUUUGUGUCGGGGGGAAAUAUUAACGAUUUUCUUACGCUCUCUAAUUAACGGAUACAAGGGCUAGGGCCCACCCCUAAUACCCAUAAUCUCCGCUAACAACACAUCCCAGAGGCACUCCGCUCCGCCUCGCCCGACUUCAGGGUCGCAGGGUCGGACGUGCCCGACCCCCCAAGGCCUCGCCUCGUCUCAGCCGAUGGAGUUCCGCCUCGCCCGACCCUGAGCCCAACGGAUCGGACGCGCCCGACCCCUCGAAGCAGGACUCCGCCUCGCCCGACCCUGAGCGCAAGCGGUCGGACGUGUCCGGUCCCACCUGACAGAGCUCCGCCUACCCGAAGGUACGAGCAGGUCAUCAGACGGAAGCGCGGGCUCUGUGAGUCCCCCUGGGCUCACCCAACCGAUGGGACCGCGCAAGCUUCCAGAUACAGUUCUGACACAUGGAGAGGCGCCCGCGUUCCUCGACAUGACCUGUCAAAAUGUUGGUCUGCGCACUGCUGCCACGACUGCACAGGGCUACACCUGCACCGUCCUACCCCACUGUGACAUCUGUCAUAGGGCACUCAUCGCUCAUACCAUCUAAUGGAGGAGGGAAAACCGCCUAGUUUUCCACGUGGGCUAGCAAGAAGAGCACGUCAGCCACGCCGCCCCGUCAGGGUGCAUGGCUACAGUGGUUGACCAUCACCCGCGACGUGCACAGUCACAGUGGCCAGUCGUCACCACCAACUUGCACAGCUACAGUGGUCGGCCGCCAUGCACGACUCGCGUGUCCGGCUACAGUGACCGACCGCCGAGUCACCGAUGGGACCCAACGGCAACCCCUAUCCCUUAGUAGCAGUACCGACAAGACGCAGAGACAAGAAGGGAAGACGACGUCUCUAGUAGCCCCACUUGCUUCCCUUUUUACCUUUCUACCUGUUUACCUUCCUUACUCCCGGCUCAUUUGUAACCUCUGUAUCCUCCUUGCACUAUAAAAGGAGACCAGGGGGUCUGAGGGCAAGGGACCCUCGGAGACCGAACCCCGAAUUCACCCAAGUACAAACCAACCGAACCACCAGACGAGAAAGACUCACAGAGAUCUGGGAACCAGCUUCCCUCUCUCACCUAUUUGUAGCCUCUACUCCAGACUUGGUACGAGUAACACGAGCAGCCACCCGCACUGGACUCCUCCGCCAGAAACUGGUCCAACCAGUCGGGUCCCUCCCCCUGCUCUUCGUCCUCAUCAUCCUCAUCAUCGUCGUCCUCAUCCGUUGCCGUGUCUGGCCCCUCCGCAGCCUUCAGAACUCCGCUGCAGCUUUCUUUUUCUUCCUCACCGUCUCCUUGUCCUUCCUCUUCUUCUGUGCUUCGUCGAGGAGGCGGUUCCGCUGCCUCUGCACCACGUCCUCUGGCACCGGUGGACGGGAGGCUGUGACAUGGUUUAAGUUACCCUGCAGAUUCGAAGACUCCGCGUCAGAAUAGCAAACCAGGAAAUGCAGGAAAGAAGAACGAGAGUGCAAAUUUCUAACCAGCAGGACAUAGGCCUCGUCCGGGCGCAUCGGAGGGUGCCCCGGCACCGGGAACACGACAUCCCUGUCACCCAAUGCAUCCCGGACACGCUGCUCGAUCUCGGCGUCGGCAAUUGCACCCGUCGCAAGGACGGUGCUGUGGUACGCCCCAACAACUCCGGCCCCGGUCAGGCCCUCCUCCUUCAGAAGGUUGAUGGCUUCGAGGAGACCCCGGAUAUUCUUCUUCUCCUUCUCAACAGGGCCAUAUGUCCACGUUCCCGGUGCCUCCACGAUGACGCGGCCAGUGAACUCCGUCAAGAGGACAUCGGGGCGGUUCUUCACAUAGAGCCACUGCUGAUGCCACCCUUUGUGGGAUGACGGGGUCUUCAUCGAUGUAUACUCCUUGGGCCGAUGGCCACAGAGGUGGAUGCCGGCACACCCCAUCAGCAUCGGAAUCGUCCGCGUCUGGUUUCCUCUCUUCUCGGUCCUCUGAUGAAGAGUGACAGCGAAGAAGUACUUCCACAGGGCGAAGUUGGGCUCGAUCCCCAGGUAUCCCUCCCAAAGCACGACGAACGCCGCGAUGUGCUGGAUUCCGUUGGGGUUGAGGUGCUCCAGCUCAAUGCUAUAGUAGUGCAGCAGCCCCCGGAAGAAGCGACUUGGGGGAACCGCGAACCCCCUCUCGUGGAAGUGCGCGAAGGAGACGAUGUACCCGUCCUCCGGCUGUAGCACGGCCUUGUUCCCGGGAUACCGCCACUCGUUCUCGGCGAUCCUAUCGCGAAGAAGGCCCUUCUUCACGAGACCGAUCACGCGCGCGGUGUUGAAGAUUGACCAAGACCUUGAAUCCAUCGCCGAGGAAGGGGAAGGCUCGACGGCGGUGGUGGAAAGGUGAAUGCUCUGGCUCGAAAGAGGAUGAAAAGUGAACAAGGAGGCGAGAAAGGCUGAAGACGAGUGCGGAGCGGAGCAAGCAAGGUAAGCUCUCUCGUUUUACAGGGGGCGUGCGAGAAACGAAAGGCGAACCGAACGCAUUUAUUGCGACGUCAGGUAUGCCCCAUCGCCUCCGCCUUUCUUCGGAAACCGUACGCAUGAUUUCUUUUUAACCGCAGGGAACGCUACGCCCCCUCGCCCCACGAGCCCGGUGUUUUUUGCCGCUUCGUCUCCUGGAGGUCAUGCGCACAACUUCCUCCACAAGCGGCCCAGGGCCCGCUUCAGGUAAAAAAGGGAUACAGAGCUGAAAACACUCUAACGGCCCAUUACGGUCCAGGGGUUCGAAGGCUGGCCCUCUAGAGGGUUCGACAUCCACCCCAGGACAUUUCUUGAGCAAGGGGUGAGAAGGGACGGGUCCGCUAGCGACCACUACCCUGGUGAACAAAAGCCAAGGGCGUCCCGACCUCACAUUUGAGUCUCGAUUGGCGUUUAAGUUCAUGGUUUUUCCCCGAAGAAAGGCAAAGUGCCCCCGGAUCCGGUUGAACAGACCUGGGAACUAUAUGAACUGGCCGUCCGAAAUCUGGAGUACGCCACCAGCUUGGCCCAAGCCGGACCCGCCCGAACAGGGACCGGGACUCCACUCGAACUGACCCGUUAGCAGCUCACCGAGCACCAUGGUUCGUCCGAUGAGGAUAACAUGGCACGGCUCACCCCCUCCGUCCCAACGAACGGACGCUGAGGGGUAACGACUAAAAGACGAUCCGACCUCUCGAUCGGUCCCCUGCAAUGCGCGGGGGCUCGAGGGCUGGAAUCACAACGAAACGACCAUGCGCAUGGUUACGACUCGGAAUUUUGAGGCAGGAAUGGUCAUUGAAACAAUAGGGAAUCUUCCCAAACCGUACCAUCCUCAGAACACUCUGGCUACCCAAAACUCCCCGGCCAGGCCAAACAAGCAAAACUUUUCUCCUGAUCAAAUCAAGGUACAUGUUAAACAAGACCCCUGACAAACACUCUGCCGAGAGCCAAUCACAGCCUCUGGAGGAGCACCUUGCUCCACCAAAGGCUCGGGGCCUACUGUCAGGGGGAAAUAUUAACAAUUUUCUUACGCUCCCUAAUUAAUGGACACAAGGGCCAAGGCCCACCCCUGACACCCGUAAUCUCCACCAACAACACAUCCCAGAGGCACUCCGCUCCGCCUCGCCCGACUACAGGGUCACAGGGUCGGACACGCCCGACCCCCCGAGGUCUCGCCUCAUCUCAGCUGAUGGAGUUCCGCCUCACCCGACCCCAGGCGUAAGGGGUUGGACGCGCCCAACCCCUCAAAGCAGGACUCCGCCUCGCCCGACCCCGAGCGCAAGGGGUUGGACACAUCGGAUCCCACUAGACAGAGCUCCGCCUCGCCCGAAGGUAUGAGUAGGUCAUCAGACGGAAGCGCGGGCUUUAUGAGUCCCCCCAGGCUCACCUAACCGAUGGGACGCGCACAAUUCUAGAUACAGUUCUGACACGUGGAGAGGUGCCCGCGUUCCUCGACAUGACCUGUCGGAAUGUUGGUCUGCACACUACUGCCACGACUGCACAGGGCUACAACUGCACCGUCCUACCCCACUGUGACAUCUAUCAUAGGGCACUUAUCGCCCAUGCCGUCUAACGGAGGAGGGCAAACCGCUUGGUUUUCCGCGCAGCCUAGCAACUACAGCACGUCAGCCACGCUGCCCCGUCAGGAUGCAUGGCUACAGUGGUUGACCGUCGUCCGCGACGUGCACAGCUACAAUGGCCAGUCGUCACCACCAACUUGCACAGCUACAGUGGUCGGCCGCCAUGCACGACCCGCGUGUCCGGCUACAGUGGCCGACUGCCGAGUCACCAAUGGGAUCCAACGGCAACCCCCAUCCCUCAGUAGCAGUACCGACAAGACGCAAAGACAAUAAGGGAAGACGGUGUCUCCAGUAGCCCUACUUGCUUCGCUUUUUACCUUUCUACCUUUUUACCUUCCUUACUCCUGGCUCAUUUGUAACCCCUGUGUCCUCCUUGCACUAUAAAAGGAGACCAGGGGGCCCGAGGGCAGGGGACCCCCGGAGACCGAACCCCGAAUUCACCCAAGUACGAACCAACCGGACCACCAGACGAGAAACACUCACAAAGAUCUGGGAACCAGCUUCCCUCUCUUGCCUGUUUGUAGCCCCUACUAUAGACUUGGUACGAGUAACACGAGCAGCCACCCGCACUGGACGUAGGGCUAUUCCUGCCCGAACCAGUAUAAACCUCGCGCCCUCUCGUACAACCAUCCAAGCCUUACGCGUAGAGAAACAAAUUUACUAAGCCGGUAGUCUUGACCCGUGAUUCGUGAGACCGACAAUUUGCACAUACAAAUGUUAAAGUACAAAUGUUAAAUCUAGUUACCAAGCAGAAUACGAAAUAGCGGGCUAUAGUGAGGCUAUAGCGGCGCUAACUGCUGCAACAACAGUGUUGUACUAAUUAGCAGGCUAUAGCGGAGCUAUAGCGGUUGAGCACAGCUCUACGCUAAAUAUCAUAGCCCUCAAUUUUGUACAUUGUAUAUACUAUAUAAAUCUAGUUAACAUUUAGUCUAAAUGUUAAAUCGAGUUACCUAAAAUCCUGAAAGCAAAAUGUAUAAAUAUAUAUCUUUUAGGGUAGUAUAAGCUUCGAUUCCUUUUGCUGCUCUGUUAAAUCUCAUCUUUCGUUGUAGCCCAACACUCUAGUAUUGAUUUUGCACCAAGCUUCUUUGAGCCGCUCUGCCCUCUGAUUUUGCUGCGUAGGGGAAUCUUUAUCAGGUUGGGCUACUUCCAGUCGUGCGAUGUAUACCUUUGUAUCUUCUAGAAGGUAGACAGAAAACCCGCGUUCUCUUAAGGCAACAACCAGAAGAUUCUGCAGCGCACGGGGCAUAUCAUUGUUGUAGAAACGACCUUUAGUAUCGAUCUCCAACCCCUUAUAGUACUGGUUUUGCAACCAGUACCGUUAUGUCGGACCUUUAGUACCAGAUCAAAUAACCGGUUCUAAAGGGACUCCUUUAGUACCGGUUGGUAACCAGUAUCAACUUGUUUUGCGGCCAAAAAAAUAAAGAAAAAAAUAGCCAGAAGGCUAGCACACACACACAUCCCACGAAAUAUGCGCGUGCGCGGUCCAUGGGAUUCGAACCCAUGAAAUCAAGCUGCGCGCAACCCUUCGUUACCAUCUCACCUUCAGUACCGGGUCAUAACACCACCCGGUACUAGUAUCGGAUGCUGUAAUGACUCGAUACUAAAAGGCCUCUAGGGACCCUCAAAUUUGGACCCGAUACUAAUGCUAACAUUAGUACCGGGUCAAAGUGCAGCCAGUACUAAAGCAUGGGACGAAAGGUCAUAUUUCUAGUAGUGUAUAGUUGUUGUGUAGGACUGACUUGGCUGUCCUCUCUCUUCUCCAUCCCAUUGGUCUUACGCCGCCGCUCGCACGCGAGCCGGCACCCAACCAGAGGAGUGAGAGCUAGGGGCGGGUUGGGAGGUGGGGGUAGCGACUGGUGGCUAGGGUGAUGGUUGAUGUUGGCGGGGUUAGGGUUUCAUGGUUUUCAAGCUACCUACGGCCGGCGAACCUAGAGGAGGAGGUCGACAUCAGCUGCAACCCGCGGUGGUGGUGGUUUGGCCGGCGCCCCAGGCGAGGCAGCGUGGGAGUGCUGCUGGCGGGUUGGUGUUGGCGCUCAUUAUUGACACAUUUUUAGUACUAUUUUGUUCAUGGAAUAACACUCAAACGUGCUGGUGCUGCUGCCGCCAUCGCCGCCCUAGCCAUAAUAUAAAGGCAAAAUUUGCUAGAGGACAUGCAAAAUGAUGCUAGUUUGCUGGAGGGCACCGUUGACCAUGUAAUAUGCUACAAGACACUCUAGUUGUUCUAGAGUGUAUCAAUUUGCUGAAAGACAUUGCUACGACUAAAAUAAUGUUUCUGGACUGAGUUGGAGAGAGAGAUGGAGUGAAAUGUCUGUUUUGCCCAUGACCCCACUGAUCAGAUCCUUCUUCUUCCACCCUCCUUUCUUCUUUCUUCAACCAUUACCCAGCUCUAGUGUGUUGCAGAUCUACGAGGGUGGCGGCCCGGGGCGAGGGGCAUCGCUUGCCCUCAGACGAGCGCCGCGAGCGACGGCGCGGGGGCAGCAACGGCGCGUCGGAACCUGACCGUUCGUUAGCUCCUCUCGCUGCUGGGGAAGGAGGGGGAGGGGCCAUGGACGGGGUUCCCUCGAAAACCUUAGCCUCGAGCUCAGGCGGCUACGCGCAGGCAGCACUAGGCUCUUCGCGGGGAGGGGGCGCGGCCAAUCAUUGGCACCCCACUGGUCCAAUGCUGAUGAAGAUGGUGCCAGCGUCGUGAAGAUGGUGCCAGCGUCGUGUGAGGACCUCUCAUCUCCUCGAGUUCCAUGGCCAGCACAGGUGAGCGUCCGCUACCACAAAACAGAGGUGUCGUGAGAGUCAAAAAAACUCAUGAAAAUAGCUAAAACCAUCAUGAAAAUAAUCCAUGACACGACACUCUAACGAAAAUCCUCUCACAAAUAUGGUGCCAUCAAAAUACCAUUUUCAUGAGAGUGAACUGUCAUGAUUUUAUUUCGUGAGAGUAUUUCCUAUCAAUGACCUCCACGAAAUACUUUGUGCCACCAGGUCUUCAAGAUCAUUUUCAUGAGAGCCGAACGUCACGAAAGGUCCGCCACAAAUGUUUUUCCUGGGAGCCUCUAACUCUCAUCAAAAGCAUGUGGGCCGCCGCGAAAAACAGCCUGACCAAAUGACAAUUUUCAUUUUCAUGUGCUCUUACCGCCAUGAAAAUGGUCAUUUUCAUGAGAGUUGAUGAAACAAAAAAAUAGUGCCAUUUUCAUGAGAGUUCAAGCAACCAGGAAAAGGCACUAAUAAACAUCCAGAUCCCAUCCAGCACACAUCCAUGCACAUAUAUAACCCACAUAUUGCUCCAGCAACAUCCAUGCAUAUACAAGAUCCAAAUGUCUUGGUAUGAACCUACAUGCAUGUGAUGAACCAGUAACCUGCAAAAAGAGCUCAUAGGAUCUUGUCCUCAUAUUGUAGCUGUGAAAUUCUUGCAAGUAGUGUUGCAAUCAGUUCACUUUGAACCAAAAGAGCUCAAAGGAUCAUGUCCUCAAAGUUCCUCUUAAAGCUUAUGGGUUUGCUGGUGGAACUGGAAGGGCUUGAUGCAGCAUGCCAUUCUGCAAUAGAGAAAAAUUUAGAAAGCUGUACUAGUUAAAAUUGGAUGCAGCAGAGACACAUGAAACUAGUAUUUAUACAAUUCUAUAUAUAUAAUAAUUUGUCCCCUAAAUUUUUAGGAUCCUCUCGACGGUGGUGAGUCUUCCAGUAAGGCAAUUGAAUGUCCAUCGUGAUAAAAUUCUCCUUUGGAUUUAUCAUCUUCUCAACCAGAAAUCCUAGGAGUUCAUCCUUAAGCCUUACCAGUUGUAAUUUGGAAAUAUGUGAAAGUUAAACGAACAAUUAAAAUCUAAGGAUCCUUAUCAUCAUUUCCAUACGUUUGCGAAUUAAAAUAAUGAAGGAUACAAUGUUAGGUGAAAAUUCAAGAAACAAAAUUUUGUAUAGAGAUAAUGGUCCGACAUUAUUACAAGUUAAAGUUGUUUUAAAUAUCCUUGUAAUCUUCCUUUGGUUUCCUCGACGAUUCCAAGACAGUAACCUUGCUUCUAUCAAUGAUAAUUAUAAGGAGAACCCAAUGAAAACUGUGUAUUCAUAUUAGAACUAACUAAGGUUAAUUCGGAUAGGAAAGGAAAUCAAAAAUAGAUGGUACCCACACUUACUUAAAGUUGUAGGGUAGUAGUAUGUAAUGCUUGUAAUUCUGUUGCUCCAAGAAUUUGUAUAUGUGGUUCAAUGUAGACUUUGGUUGAUCCUGUAUCUGCUGUUGGUUGAAUAAGUGUUUCUAACCAUUUCUAGCCGUUAGAACUGGGACUAAAGGGAGCUCUUAGUGCUGGUUGAUAUUACUAGUCGGGACUAAAGAGCCCCCGUUAGAGUUGGUUUUCGGACGUGGAACUAACCACUCCUUUAGUCUCAAGUCCAAAAAUGAUUGAGACAUUUGUUGCUGGAUGGAACACUAGUAGAGAAUUGGCUUUCGAUGCGCCCCCUUUUGUCCCGGUUUAAAGUUGGACUGGGACAAAAGAGGGUGCGCCACGGUAGGUAAAAAUGGAGGGGGGAGUUAGUCCCGGUUGGUAAUUGCAACCGGGACUAGAGGCCCCCCUUUAGUCCCGGUUGCAAUGGCUAGCUGGGGGGCGUCGGUGGCGGCACCUUUUUGUCCCGGUUGGAGUCUCCAACCGGGAUAAAAGGUCCACCCUUUUAUCCCGGUUGGAGGCUCCAACCGGGACAAAAAGUUUAGUCCCGGUUGGAGCUUCCAACCGGGAUAAAAGGGUGUCCCUUUUGUCCUAGUUGGAGCCUCCAACCGGGACUAAACUUUCAACCGGGACAAAAGGUGUGGUUGGAGUUUUUAACUGGGAUAAAAACUCAUCCCCCAUUAUAUACCAAGACAGAGGACUUUCUUCCUCCUCCAGCCCGAGCCAGUCCAGCACAUUCACAGAGAGUUGACCUUCACCUACUCUCCGGUGGUGCCGAAGCAAGGAGGUGCUGCCCGAAGUUUUUUCCCUCAUUUUCGUGGGAAUUUCACUCAGCUAACACAAGUGUUGUGAAGGUUUGCUACUUCAUCCUCGUUUAUGCUUUGAUUUAUGCUUUGGAGAUGGAAAGAUUAUUUGUUAGAAUGUGAUGAAGUAGAAAAUGGAGAGAAUAUUUUGAGCUAGAAUGUGAGGGAGAUUGAUGUGUCAUAUAUAGUAUGCAUUCUUGCAGUGGUUUAAGAAUGAUGCUACCUUGUCCAGACAAUUUAUCUUAUCAAAUUCAAUAUAGUUUUUCAAAUCCAUACUUGUUGAACUUGCAUACCGUGUUCAUCUCUACGAGGAUAUUCUCUGCCGAGCAGCAACGUAUGUCAAGAAGGAGGUUCGAUUCUACGAGGAAGAGUGGAUACGGACAUCGUGACCGUGUCCCCUUUUCCGUAGCAUCUAACCUCUUUCAUGAUGAAGUGCGGUGCCGCCCAGUUGAGAACAUGCUCGCGAGAUGAACACAGUAUGCAAGUUCAACAACUUCUGCAGUAGUAAGGAAAGAAUUUUUGUACAUAGAUGACUUCUGCUACUUGUUGAACUUAUCAAAUUCAAGAAGGUUUUUCAAAUCCAUACUUGUUGAACUUGCAUACCGUGGUCAUCUCGCAGAGGAUGUUCUCCGCCGAGCAGCAACGUAUGUCAAGAAGGAGGUUCGAUUCUACGAGGAAGAGUGGAUACAGACAUCGUGACCGUGUCCCCUUUUCCGUAGAAUCGAACCUCUUUCAUGACGAAGUGCGGUGCCGCCCAGUUGAGGACAUGCUCGCGAGAUGAUCACGGUCUUUAAGUUUAACAACUUAUGCAGUGUUAAGGUAAUAAUUUUUGUACAUAGAUGGCUUCUGCUACUGGAGAAAGUGGCGAUGGUGGGGGUGAUCGUGGUUCCUCUUUCGGCAAGGGGAAAAUCAUAGUUGGCCCUCAGCAUAAGCCAAAGAAAAAGAGCGCACUGGAAAAAGCAAUGCUUCGUUAUUUGCAGCAACGUCAUGAAGAAGUUGUUGCCGCGGGUCAGGAACCUCCUUUUGGUCGUCGUUAUGCUCCACCCUUAGUCCCGGGUGUUUCACAUCCACUUAGUACUACCGUUUCAGGCGGCACAAAUAAACCUAAGGAUGAGGCUAGGUCAGCGGAACUUUCGUCUUCACUGUCCAAGGAUGCUUAAAGUCCUCCUAGAUAAUAACCAGUGGAUGGCUUGUUGUAUUGUAUCAUGUUGUUUGGAUCUUUAAUUUAAAUAUGUGUAUUUGGAUCUUCAUGUUGUUGUAUUGUACCAUGUUGUUUGGAUCUUUAAUCAAUUUUCACACGUAAUCCAUUGUCAAGUGUAAUCCAUUUUCAUGCAUAAUAAGAUGCAGAUGGACCGGCAAUGGAUGUAUAAUGCAGACAGGCAGAGCAAGGUGUUUAUUGAUGGCUUGCAUUAUUGUCUCGAAGUGGCCAAAGCGAACAAGCCAGAGAAUGGGUUCGUAUGUUGUCCAUGCUUCCAAUGCAAUAACAAGAAGGAGUAUUCAUAGGAUUCCUGGGGGACUAUUCACAGCCACUUGUUUAAAUACGGUUUCAUACUUAACUAUUUGGUUUGGACCAAGCACGGUGAACGAGGGGUCGUAAUGGAAGAUGGCGAGAAGGAGGAGGAAGAUGACACCAUUCCAGACUGGGUUGUAGGCCAAGCUUUUGCAGGUACUACAAUGGGCGAGGCUCAUGAAGAUGAGUUUGCAGAAAAUGGCCCUAUUGAUGACUUUGGUCAGGUGAUACGAGAUGCAUACAGAGAUUGCGAAAUUGAGAAGGAAGCAGCAAAGUUGCAGCGCAUGAUAGAUGAUCACCAAAAAUUAUUGUACCCAGGUUGCCAGCUGGGCCAUAAAAAACUAGGUACGACACUAGAAUUUGUGCAAUGGAAGGCAAAAAAUGGUGUGUCCGAUAAGGCAUUUCAGGGGAUGUUGACCAUUGUCAAGAAGAUUCUUCCCGAGAAUAAUGAAUUACCGUCCACAACAUAUGAAGCUAAACAGAUUAUUUGCCCUCUCGGAUUGGAUGUUCAGAAGAUACACGCAUGCCCUAAUGACUGUAUCCUCUAUCGUGGUGAUGACUACGAGAAAUUGGAUGCUUGUCCCGUGUGCGAAGCCCUGCGGUAUAAGAUUAGGUGAGAUGAUCCUUGUGAUGUCGAGGGGCAGUCUCCCAAUAAGAGAGUUCCCGUGAAGGUGAUGUGGUAUUUCCCUAUAAUACCACGCUUGAAGCGCUUGUUCAGGAAAAAGGCGAAUGCUAAGUUGAUGUGAUGGCACAAAGAAGACCGUAAGGAAGAUGAGAUGCUGAGACACCCCGCAGAUGGGGCACAGUGGAGAUCAAUUGAUAGAGCAUUCUCGGACUUUGAAAGUGAAGCAAGGACAUAAGGUUUGGUUUAAGUACUGAUGGAUUCAAUCCAUUCGGUGAGUUGAGUAGUGGCCAUAGUACUUGGCCUAUGACCCUAUUUAUGUUGAACCUUCCUCCUUGGCUAUGCAUGAAGUGGAAGUUCAUUAUGAUGCCGGCGCUUAUCCAAAGUUCAAAACAACCCGACAACGACAUUGACGUGUACCUAAGACUGUUGGUUGAUGACCUUUUACAGCUCUGGAAGGAAGAAGGUGUACGUGUGUGGGAUGAGGAUAGACAAGAGAUCUUUAAUCUACGAGUAUUGUUGUUUGUAACCAUCAAUGAUUGGCCUGCACUGAGUAACCUUUCGGGACAGACAAAUAAGGGAUAUCGGGCAUGCACCCACUGUUUAGACGACACAGACAGCAUGUAUUUGAAGCAUUGUAAGAAGGUCGUCUACAUGGGUCAUCGUCGAUUUCUCCCUGCUCACCACCAGCUGAGAAAGAGCAGGAUGCAUUUCAAAGGGGCGCCAGACCAUCGUAAAAAACCUGCACACCAUAAUGGAAAGUGUGUCUUCAAGAUGAUGAAGGAUGUAAAUGUAGUCUUUGGAAAGGGUCUUGGUAGCCAACCUAUUCCAAACGACAAUAACGGACAUGCACCCAUGUGGAAGAAAAAGUCAAUAUUUUGGGAGCUACCUUAUUGGGAAAUCCUAGAGGUUCGCAAUGCAAUAGACGUGAUGCACCUGACGAAGAAUAUUUGCAUGAACGUGCUAGGCUUCAUGGGUUUUUAUGGGACCUCAAAAGACACAUUGGAAGCACGACAGGACCUGAAAGCCAUGGGGCAACGAGAUGACCUACAUCCGAAAAAGAGAGAUAAUGGAUAGCACUACUUACGUCCUGCCAGUUACACUCUGAGCAAGGAAGAGAAGGAUAGCAUGUUUGAAUGCUUGAAUAGUAUGAAGGUCCCGUCUAGGUACUCCUCGAAUAUAAAGGGAAUAAUAAAUAUGAAAAAAAAGAAGUUUAUAAAUCUCAAGGCCCAUGACUGUCACAUGUUGAUGACCCAGUUGCUUCCGGUUGCACUGAGGGGUGUUCUACUAGAAAAUAUCCAGUUGCCGCUCGUAAAGCUAUGUGCGUUUCUAAAUGCGAUUUCACAGAAGGCAAUCGAUCCAUCCAAGCUAUCAAAGCUACAGAACGAUGUGGUGCAAUGUCUUGUCAGUUUUGAGUUGUUAUUUCCACCAUCCUUCUUCAAUAUUAUGACGCACUUACUGGUUGACCUAGUAAAAGAGAUUGGUAUUCUCGGACUUGUAUACCUGCACAAUAUGUGGCCUUUCAAGUGUUCAUGGCAGUCCUAAAAAACUAUGCUCUUAAUCGUGCCCAUCCAGAAGGAAGCAUCGCCAAGGGAUAUGGAACAGAGGAGGUGAUCGAGUUUUGUGUUGAUUUUAUUGAUUCAAUUGACUCGAUUGGGGUUCCAACUUCACGCCAUGAGGGGAGGCUCCGAGGAAUGGGCACCCUUGGAAGGAAAUCAAGUUUGAGCAAUGAUACUGAUUUGUUCGACAAGGCACACUACACGGUUCUACAACAGUCAUCCUUUGUGUCUCCAUAUAUUGAGCAGCACAGGCAGAUGGUAGUUUCCAAAAACCCGACCAAAUCCGAUGCUUGGCUUACCCGUCUUCACAUGGAAACUUUUCCCUCCUGGUUGCGCCAACAACUUAUGGGUAACUCUGAGAUUCACCCACAGCUUGCCUGGUUAGCCAGGGGACCUGCUAGCACAAUUGUGAAAUUUCAAGGCUAUGAGAUAAAUGGUUAUACAUUUUACACGAGAGCCCAGGACCAGAAAAGCACGAAACCAGAAUAGUGGUGUCCGCAUACAUGCCAUGGACAGAAAUAAUAGCAAGGAGUCGUAUUAUGGUUUCAUAUAGGAGAUAUGGGAACUUGAAUACGGACCGUUGUACAUCCCUCUAUUUCUUUGUAAUUGGGUGAAGCAAACUGCCGUAACCAAAGAUCAGUACGGAAUGACAAUAGUAGAUCUGAGCAAGACUGGAUACAGUGAUGACCCAUUCGUACUUGCCAACAAUGUGCAACAGGUGUUCUAUGUGAAGGACAUGUGUAGCAAACCCAAGAGAAAUCCAGAAGAGACAUGGGAGCCAAAGUGCCACAUAGUUUUUCCAGGUAGAAGAAAAAUCGUGGGAGUCGAGGAUAAAACAAACCAAUCAGAUGAUUAUGAUUAGUUUGAUGGCAUGCCUCCAUUCGCCGUUGAAGUUGAUCCAAGCAUCCUGCUAUCCAAAGAAGAGGCUCCGUACUUACGCCGCGAUCAUGAUCAAGGAACUUUCGUGAAGAAGAAAUUCUACAACGUUGUAUUGUAAUGCGCUAAAUUUACAUGACCUUUGUGUAGUAAUUGAUACAAUUUUUAAUUUACCCUAUGUAUGAUUUGAUGUGUUCUUAAAUUUGUUAGGUGAAGAUUUAUUAGAUAAACAUGAACAAUGUUAACCACAUACAUACAUGGAUUUUUCUGCGCAUUGAAAUUAUUUAAUGGAAUAAUUUCUUGAUCACAGCGAUGUAGUAAAAUAAAUAUUUUAGAGCCUAAAUGAACUGGUAUAGAAUUAAUGACUAACUCACACUUAUUGUCAAUUUACUCGCUAAUUAAAUAUAUUUUUGCAUGUACAAAAUAUGUGAAGGUUUUUGUUUUUCAUCCUGAAUUGCAGUGAAAAGAUAAAUAAAAUCCAUUUCCAAAAAACAGGCGGGAGAAGAAAACUGGGAAAAGGACCUUUUGUCCCGGGUGCCAACAGAAACCGGGACAAAAAGCCCCCCCCCUUUUAUCCCGGUUGGUGGUGGCACCCGAGAUAAAAGGGUAGGCUCCAAGCCCCACUUGGCGGACGCACCCUUUUGUCCCGGGUCCCGUCACCAACCGGGAUAAAAGGGGGGGCCUUUUAUCCCGGUUGGUGAGGGGACCCAGGACAAAAGGCCCUUUAGUCCCGGGUGUCAUUACGAACCGGGAUAAAAGGGGGGUUAAAAGGCACUAUAGCCCCUUCUACCCCCCACGCCAGUUACAGUUAGCAAAAUUUUCACCAAGAUCCCGCGCGCACUCUGCUCCGUCGCUGCCCGUCCGCCUUCCUCGCCAGCCGUCAUCGUCGUCGUCCCCCAUUGCCCCGGCCGUCGUCGUCCCGCCGGCUGACCGUGCCCAGAUAGCCUCCUCCUCCAUCGCCCCGGCCCGCCUCGAUCCUCCUGCGUCGUGCCCGGCCCCUACCUCAUCGACGCCGGCCACCUCCAUCGCGGGGCCUCAUCGCCGCCUCCAUCCUCGUCGCCACCUCGACGCCCUGGGUCGCCGCCUCGUCGCCCCUCGUCGCUGCCUCGUCGCCGUCCUGCCUCCGCCGUCUCGCCGUCCCGCGCGCCUUCGCUCCGUCGUCGCCUCCGCCGUCCCACCGCCCCAGCCACCGCCAUCCCGCCACCCCGGCCACCUCGUCGCCCCGACCACCGUCGACCGCGCGUGAGGUCCGCCGCACCGGCACUGGCGCCGGGAGUACCGCCUUGCUGACGCAAGCCCACCGGCUUGCGUCAACAAGGGCCUUUUUUAAGUUAGAAAAUAAAUAGAAAGGAGUAGUAAUUAGGUAGAAAUUCAAUAGAUUUUUGUAUAUGUGUUACAAAAUCAAAUUAGUGUAAAUUAGUUGUAAUUAGGUUCGUCGCUCUGCCUAGGUUAGAAAUGAAUCGUGUUUCGUCGUGGUUCCGUCCCCGCCUCCGCCGUCCCGCCACCCUGACCGUCGCCGUCCCAACCUAGGCACCGUCUGUGGUUCCGUCCCCGCCUCCGCCGUUCCGCCUCCAUCGCAAAUUCAUGUUAUUGCUAGAAAUUCCAAUAAAUAUGAACAAAUUAGUAGAAAUUUGGUAGAAAUUAAUCAUUGCUGCGGCCACCUCGCUCCACAAAUUCAUGUUAUUGCUAGAAAUUCAUAAAAAUUCAUGUUAUCACUAGAAAUUCGUACAAAAUUCAUGUUAUUGCUAGAAAUUCGUAAAAAUUCAUGUUAUUGCUAGAAAUUCGUACAAAAUUCAUGUUAUUGCUAGAAAUUCGUACAAAUUCAUGUUAUUGCUAGAAAUUCGUCACAAAGUACUACUAAUUUGCAAAAAUUUGUAUAAAUAUUCCGGACUUUGUGGGAUUCAUGUUAUUUUCUGAUUUCAUGUAUAUACCCUUAUGUACAUAUAACUAAGGAGAUUUCUAUGACUUUCAUGUAUGUUUCAAUCAAUAGUUGAAAUGGCAGACGAUGAGACCGCAAGGUAUCUCAUGGAGCAGAUAAUCGCUGGUGAUGGUAGUGGCGACAACCUUCCACUAUCGUACACCGAUGAAGAGGGCACCCAGGCGGACAUGUUCCUCAACAUGUCCGCCGAUGGGAAUGAAGAGCAAAAGCCCCAGCAACACCUUGCCGGGGCGGAAGGUUCCGGCGAGGUAUAUAUAACGAUUCUUGUAUUGUUUCACACCACCGUUACUACUACGUACUAAUUAACGAAUCAUGAACCGUUAGCCCUCUGGAUCGACGCAAGGGCAGAAGACACGAGGUCGUACAAAGGUGAUGGAAGGGAGGCUUGUCAUCACGGAAGUGAUAGAAGAGGGCAGGCCGGUUGCUCCCGAGAAAGUAGCAAAGAAGUACGUGAGUCAGAUCGGGGCAAUCGUCCGGGACAACGUGCCUAUCAGCAUCAGAGAAUGGAAGGGCAGAAGCACUAAUCCGUACGCCCUCCUGGAGACAGAAAGAAUAUGCUGUGGGAAGAUGUCAAGAGACAUUUCACAUUCACCGAAGGAUAUAUUGAGAAGGAUGUGAAAGCGUGGACGCUUAAGAAGAUGGCUACACAAUUUCCAGACAUUUAAGAAGAUGCUAGAUACCCACUACAUUAAGAAGGGCCGAACUCCAGACUUCAACGCGUGGUCAAAGUUGAGGGACCACUAGGAUGCAUUUGUUGAAUAUAAGAGGAGUGAAUACGAUGUGAAAAAGAUCACGACCAACACAACAAAUGCUAGUCAGAAGGGCUACCAUCAUCAUCUGGGGCGAGAUGGUUAUGGCUCAGCAAUUCCCAAGUCGAGGAAGAUGGAACAAGAUCUGAUUGAACGGGGAAUCGUACCGGCAACUAUUGAAUGGCCCGAACGAUCAAAAAAUUGGUACUACGCUCAUGGAGGCUCCCUGUGCCAAGAGGAUGGGACGUUGAUUUUCAAUAACACAAUACGUUAGAAGGCCAAACAUCUUGUGAAGAACAUUGAAGAUUCUAAGGCUGGGAGGUUGAAGGUGGACCGAGAAAAUGAUGAGCUCACAUUGGCCCUUGGUAAUCCAGAGCACCCAGGAUGUUGCCGAGGGUUCGGGGUCGUUCCGUGGAAGUUUGUUUUCCGAGGCGACAGCGCCUCGUACAGAAGCCGGAAGCGAAGAAAGGAACAGAUCGAGGAGAGCUGGUGGCAGAUGCUAGAAUCCAAAGUGCAGGCACAAGAACAAAGAAUGAUGGAGGAAAUCAAUCGUCGAGUGGCCCACGCAGUUGUGGAGUUGGCCCAAUCUGGAGCAUUGCCGAAUCCUAACAACGCCAGCCCUUCUCAAUGCCUCUUGAGCAGUUAUGCUUCUACAGGGGUCCCCGAUGCGCACACGCCCAGGUUACCCGUGGAGGAGCAACGGUUCCCCGUGGAUGCCAUCACGCAACACACCACAUGUGAGCUGCAUGCACCGGUCGGCAACCUCACUAUUAAGGUAUACUUAUACAUAAUAUUUAUGCAAUCUUGUCAAUUGAUCCACGCCUCGAUAUCGGAGUUUAACUUGUUUACUUCUACUAUAUGUACAGGUAGCGUACGGGAGUGCGUUAGCAACCCUGGCGGGGCAGAGCAGUCAUGGCAUGAAGAUUCCACCUGGCUACGCUAGCGUCCGCGUAGAGCAAAUAGUUGAUAGCCAAUAUGAAGGUCUAGAGCUCGACCUCCCGGGAGGUGACAGGGAAAGAACACUGGCAGAUGCGCUUCAUGGGAUCAUUCUAUGGCGAAAACGCUACAUCAUUAUUCCCGGCACGGAGCCAUCUCCUCAGAGCUCAAGACCACUCCCCGUAGAUCCCCAGCAGCGACCUUCUCCUCAUAGCUCGAGACCGUCAUCUCCUGCACAACCUGCUCCAGGACCGUCCCUUCCAUCUAUAUCAAGGUCUCCAUCUCCACCACAUCCUGGUGGUGGGAGCGACGACGACAAUAACAACACCCCUUCCUGAUCACCAUCGCCGGCACCAAGAGCGGCCCCCAUGAAGGAACCUGCACCACCACUAAAAAAGUCACGAGCACCGCCUCCCAAGCAAAGACAGAGAAAGAAGAAAACAAAGGAGCCUGAAGUGACUCGUAAGGAACGCUGGGAGACAAUGUCUCAUGCGGAACAGUGGGCAGAAAUCCAACAAGAGGCCAGUGAGUGGUUCAAGAAACAAGCCGAAGAAAAAAAAGCAACGGAGAUGCAGCCACCGCCAGUAAAUCGAAGAGAUUUAAACUUUUUUAUCAGGAUGGAAGAAGGAGCCAAGAAAAGGAUACCACUCUUAUCAAACUAUGAACGGGCUUUAGUAAAGGCUGAUGAAAAGGAUAAAAGGAAAGGAAAGUCAUCUUCCAGCGGUGCUGUCCCCGACCUCAGCCAUUUAUCAAAAAAAGAUGCUCAACGGGUAAAAGCAAUGCCCUUGGAUCAACAAGCAGAAGUAUUGAAGUUCAUGCAAGAAACAGGUCUGGGACUUGAUGAAUGCCUAGGGCAAGUUGAGACGCCAACUGCACCGCCCCCUGAGCCGAGAUGGCCUUAUGAGCUAGGCAAACCUCUAGUAAAGCCUUCAUUGGUACGAAAGCUAUCAACAAAGAUGUACGCAUUCCAUCAAUGGUACAUGAUGGCAUCCGCUGACUCAAGGGAGAUGCUCGGCCUGAAGGUAAAACCGAUGGAUUUUCACGACAGAGGCGAGAAAGUGCUGUGGCUAGACUUCAAGGAUAUAUACGAAGUGUACCAUCAUGAUGCCAUAGACGUCUCUCUGAUCCGCGCUUGGGUUCUGUAAGUGUCCGUUUAUCUCUACAUGUAAAUUUUGGCGUGCGUCACCGUACUAACUUCGUCUUCCAUUUCAUGUAGGAUGCUAAUUCAGACAUGCCGCCGAGAGGCGUACCUACAUAUAGGCUUCAUGGAUCCAUCUGUAGUUAACCAACAGCAGAUACAAUUAGCAUCGGAGAAAACCUUGGUGGAAGUAUACAAUUUCCUAGACAAACAAACAUUCAAGGAUUUCAUACUAUUUCCAUACAACUUCAAGUAAGUGUGUGUAUACCGUCUACUUUCGAUGUCUUUUUCCUUAUCUCUACAUGUUAGUUAGCUCUAAUAUGCAUGAACAUUUUACGCACGCAGCUUCCACUGGAUCCUUAUUAUAAUUGAGCCUCAAAGAAGCCACGUCACUGUCUUCAAUUCGUUGAGGAAAGAUCCAGUGGAGCACCAAGAAAUGCAACACAUGCUAGGCUUGUAAUAAUUCUGGACCUUUAUCUCUAUGCAAAAGUUUGUUUCCUAAAUUCUAUCCCUGUUACACUAUAUCAUUCAUUAUUCUAAUCCACAGCGUAUGGAAACAAUUCAUAAGGACACAAAAAGGUCCAUUCAAAGAAAAACUUACAUGGAACACAGACUUCCCGGUACAUAUGAAGUCUGCACAUUUAUUACAUUGUAUAACACGAAUAUUUCAUAACUUAUUUUUUUCCGUAUUGAAGUGCUUAAGACAGGAACUCGGAAAUAAUCUAUGUGGCUACUACAUCUGUGAGCACAUGCACAGUUUUAUGGGACCCAAGGGACUAAAGAUGACGCCGCACAACUUUAAAGUACGUAAAAUAAAACUAUUACUAGUUAAUUAUUUUCUAGCUCCUUAUAUGUAUUUGUUCACGUAACAUUCACAAAUUUCCAAAUUAUAGAUGUUAAAUAUUCAACAAGGACUCUUGAAGGAAGAAAGAGUAGCGGCAAUAUGUGAAGGUCUCAUUGGAUUCCUAAUGGACAAGGUGGUAGAUCCAAAAGGAGAAUUUUAUUUUGAUGGACGACAAUUAGACACUCUGAUCAGCAACACCUCGAUGGGAAGAUUGUAGAUAGAUACUUUGAUUUAUUUGUAUAUAUAAUACGCGCUAAUUAUGAUCGAUUUGUACUAGUUGAAUUCUGUAUAUGAAUUGUGUAUAAGAAUUGUGUAUAUAUAUAGUAACUGUAUAAUUACAAAUCCCAUUCGUUUAAAUACUAGUUAAUUUCAUUCUAAAAAAAUCUCAACUACUUAAGGUUAACAAAAGGGCUGCGGUACUACGUACGUGAUGCAUGCAUGAAAAAUUCAGGCGCCAGGCAGGUGCCAUGCAGGGCAUCAUUUAGUCCCGUUUGGAAUCCAGCCGGGACUAAAGGGUAACCCUUUACUCCCGGUUGGGAAACCCAACCGGGACUAAAGGGGGACCGUUACUCCCGGUUAAAAGACCCGGGACUAAAACCCCCCCUUUUGUCCCGGUUGGCUUAUCCCGGAUAAAUUUUCGGGAGAUAUGCACCCUACCAACCGGGACUAAAGGCCAAUUCUCCACUAGUGGAAGGUCCUUUCUCUACCAUGAAUAUUGCCAGAAAGAAUUGAAAGAGACCGCUUGCUAAAAACAUGUCAUAGAUGCGGACCAAGCUACCAAGGAGGUAGACCAAACAUGAUACACACCAUGCGUACCUUGCUGUGCAGACUAUGCAUGGACAAGAUACCCGACCACAUGUUGGCUUUGGUCACAUCAAAAGAAUCAUGUAGGCCAUUAAUAAACUACUUGAAGCGUCAUUCCGUAUCUUAUAUCCAUCAUCUGCAUUACAUUACAUUAAAUAUUAUUAACUAUUUGAAUAAAAUGAACCAAUUUAAAAAUAAUGAAUUGUACAUUACUACAAAAAGCCCUAGCACUGCCAGUUCCAAAAACAUCAUUGUUGACGGCCGUUAAGUACCAAAUAUGACGGUCAAUAUCCUAAAGAAUAAAGGACAAUUGGCAUUUCUUACACACAUAUUUGGUUUCGAAUAAUGUAGUUCUACAUGUCCUUGGAGAUUAUUUGGGUGUGGGUGAAAUAAUACAAAAAGAAGGAGAAAACACACUCCCAUGGCAAAGAAACAUAACUCCGACCAAUGAGAGAUAGCCACAGGGGCAGCACAUGGAUCCAUGGGCCCACAAACUGCAUCAAACCAUCUUACAAGGCGGGUAGCACCCACAACUGUCAUUAGGACCCACCUGGAAGUCUAGCAAAGAAGAAGGUUGUGAGUGGGGCCACGAGGGGUUCGGUUGAAUCAUCUCUAGCUCCCUUCAUCCCCAGCUGGCGCGUGGCGGUGGUUCAUGGUGUCCCGACAUCGGUUAGAGGACAUUCCCCCAAAUAUUCCUCCUGUAAACCAGCUCUAUGAACCUAUAAAUAGAGGGGUGUGCUCUCCAUUCCAACACACACCACAAGUUGAAGCACUCUCUCCCUCUUUAGUUUCCAAGUUUACGGAGAUAGGCUGGAGUAGCUCUGCUAAAGGUUCCAAGUCCACUUGGAGUUAAGCGUAUGUCUCUUGUAUCAUUAUUUCCUAGAGAGACUUUAUGCUAUUCAAGUUAUUUAUCUUCUUCAUAUAGUGUUAUGCUUAGUUCUUAUAUGCAUGAGUUAGUCUAAUACCCUUGCUCUAUUGAUAUGCUCAGCUUAUGUGCUCGUAUGCUAGUCAUGUACCCUUGCUGUCAUAGUAUAGGGUUAUAUGCUGUCAUGUGUGCCUAUAGACCUUGCUACAGUAUAUACUUGUUGUGUAUACAUACCAUUUGUAUAUACAUUAUUACAAGUUAAGGUAGUUUUAAAUAUCCUUGUGUUGACAACCAAAGCUUGAUCUUUUGUUUCCAUUGCCAGCGGAUUCAUCGGCUCAGAGUAGGAUCAAGACAUCAAGUUGAUGGAGUUCUUUAUAUUUCAAGAGGAGUCAUGGAGUUCUUUAUAUUUCAAGAGGAGUUGAUGGUGCUUUCAAUAUUGCAACCAGACAUCAUUGGCUCUGAAGACACCGAAUCAUCGGAGUUCUAUGAUCAGUUUCGGAACAUGAAGCCUUCAUACUCCGAAACUGGGGGGCCUGUGUUGACACCGAAUUAUCGGACUUCUAUAAUUAGUUUCGGAACAUGAAGCCUUCAUACUUCGAAACUGGGGGGUAUGUGUUUACACCAAAAUUUAGAAAUGUGCUCUGAAAGGAAGGACCUGGGAGAUCUAUUGGCUGAAAUACAAAUCCAUCGAAACUAGCCUUAUGCUAAGAGAUCAGAAUAUUGUACAAAGUCUAGAAAGUUCUAUUUACAUCUAAGUAACUCGAUAACUAGCCUUACGCUAAGAGAUCAGAAUAUUGGACAAAGCCUACAAAGUUCUAAUAUAGGUAACGUAAUGACCAGGUGAGGAUAGUUACAAGCUCGCUUGAGAUCGAAGCCGAUGUAGCCCUGCGCGCAAGAAGAAACUCACCUAUUUCUACUCUACUCUUACUCCUAGGGUUUGAUGGCGUGGCGUCAAAAGAUUGUAUUGAUUGAUUGAUUAUUUGAUACAAAGCUCAUGGGCCUAUAUUUAUACCCUUGAGAAAGCUAAAAUCCUAAUCAGUUAUGACAUGAAUCGUGACAGAAAAUCUAACUAAAGAUAGAUCUCCAUGCUUUCCCUUAUUUGGUGGAGUCGAUUUCACUUCAUAUCGGAUCCCUCCCGAUCUUCUAUCGGCUUCUAGCAUCCGGUCAUCUGCGACUGGCCUUGGUCAACAUCAGGUGUCAACAGACUUAUUUCUUCUACAAGUUCAUCGGCUGUCAGAGCCUUGUCUUAGUCAGUUGACUCUAGUAAAAAAUCGAUGUCAAUACAUGCCCCCCAAUUUUUGAAUAAAAUAUUAUAUUUCAAAAUUCUCUUCUCUUGUCAACAGCUUUUGAAAGAAAAAGAGUCACUGCUGCAAUCAUAAUCUUUUUCCCCGGGUUUUGUGAUAGCACCCUCCUCAUUUUAAGGGAUUCACCAUGUGGAAAUUAUAAUAUAACUGCUUCACCCAUUUCGUUUUCUUCACCAAACCAACUAUUGUCAGCCGCUACAACCAAAAAUCAAUUAUUCCCUUCACAUGCCUAGCGACUGCAUCCAUCACUCAUCGUCACCAUUAGUCUCCAUGUGUCAAGGCUUCUUCAACCAGCAAUGGCGACAUUAUCUUCCAUUCCACAGGUACCAUGUAUCCUAGCCAUUCCUUUCCCCUUUCAACCUGAAAUCCAAUCUAGUCACUAUAUAUCAAACCUGUGUUCUUAAUCAAUACUUGCCCCCUUGUACUUAGAAACACCCUUUUGAUCCCCAUAUCCGAUACGCAAGCAGAAUACUUUCUAGGCCCCAUGGGUAGUGAAGACCCAAUAGAAUCUAUUAAUGCUGAAAUACUUGGACAAAGUCUAGAAAGUUCUAUUUACAUCUAAGUAACUCGAUAACUAGCCUUACGCUAAGAGAUUUAAAUAUUGGAUAAAGCCUAGAAAGUUCUUAUAUAGGUAACUGAAAAGUGUGUUGACGCAAAAAUUGGAUGGUUGACUCCUGCGUACUAACACACGGAACCAGGGAGAAUCUGCUUAGCUACUGUUCGGGUUAUAGCCCUCUCGAUCCGUAGCGUGCCAGUUAAUCUGACCUGCUGAUUGACAAGUAAAAAUGUCAAAUUAAGAGCAAAUCAGCUGGUGUUCCGAAUCGCUCCACGGGACGUAUCAGUAGACAGCCGAUACGGGCAAACGACAAUCAGCUAGAUCAGCCGAUUUGCUCUUGUAUUUGACGUUUUACUUGUCCUUCUCAAUCAGCAGGUCAGAUUGACUCGCACGACGCAGAUCGAGAGGGCUAUAACCUAAACAAGAGCUAAGCAGAUUCUCCCGGGUUUCAUGUCUUAGUACACAGAAGUCAACCGUCUGAUUUUAUCAUCAACACGCUUUUUGGCACGCUCAGUGGGACCCGAUUCAUAUCUUAAUGGUAAUUGGUGAUCAAGUUUCAAACAACGUAUCCACUGGUAGAAAACUGAGCAUUAGUCCCGGUUGGUAAGGGUCAUAUCUCUCGGAUAUCCAUCCGGGAUAAACCAACCGGGACAAAAGGGGGGGGUCUUUAGUCCCGGGUAUUUUAACCGGGAGUAAAGGACCCCCUUUAGUCCCGGUUGGUGUCACCAACCGGGACUAAAGGGCCUGCCACGCCAGGCGCGGGACAGGCCCUUUAGUCCCGGUUGGUGACACCAACCGGGACUAAAGGGGGUCCCUUUAGUCCCGGUUGGAUUUCCCAACCGGGACUAAAGGGGUCCCCUUUAGUCCCGGCUCAAUUCCAACCGGGACUAAAUUGCGCUUGCAUGGCACUGGUGACGCCUGAAUUUUUCAUGCAUGCAUCACGUAUACGUAUAGUAGUACCGCGGCCCUUUUAAUUUGUUAACCUUGUAGUUGAGAUUUUUUUAGAAUGAAUUAAAUCAACUAGUAUUUAAACGAAUGGGAUUUGUAAUUACACAACUACUAUAUAUAUACACAAUCCUUAUACACAAUUCAUAUACACAAUUCAACUAGCUUAAUUAGUACAAAUCGAUCAUAUAUACAAAUAAAUCAAAGUAUCUUCCUACGAUCUUCCCGUCGUGGUGUUGCUGAGAGGAGUGUCUAAUUGUCGUCCAUCGUAAUAAAAUUCUCCUCUUGGAUUUACCACCUCGUCCAUUAUGAAUCCAAUGAGACCUUCACAUAUUGCCGCUACUCUUUCUUCCUUCAAGAGUCCUUGUUGAAUAUUUAACAUCUAUAAUUUGGAAAUUUGUGAAUGUUACAUGAACAAAUACAUAUAAGGAGCUAGAAAAUAAUUAACUAGUAAUAUAUUUAUUUUACGUACUUUAAAGUUGUGCGGCGUCAUCUUCGGUCCCUUGGGUCCCAAAAAACUGUGCAUGUGCUCACAGAUGUAGUAGCCACAUAGGUUAUUCCCGGGUUCCUGUCUUAAGCACUUCAGUGCGGAAAAAAAAUAAGUUAUGAAAUAUUCGUGUUAUACAAUGUAAUAAAUGUGCAGACUUCAUACGUACCGGGAAGUCUGUGUUCCAUGUAAGAUCUUCUUUGAAUGGACCUUUGUGUGUCCUUAUGAAUUGUUUCCAUACGCUGCGGAUUAGAAUAAUGAAUGACAUAGUGUAACAGGGAUAAAAUUUAGGAAAUAAAUUUUUGCAUAGAGAUAAAGGUCCAGAAUUAUUACAAGCCUAGCAUGUCUUGCAAUUCUUGGUAGUCCACCGGAUCUUUCCGUAACGAAUCAAAGACAGUGACGUGGCUUCUUUCAGGCUCAAUUAUAAUAAGGAUCCAGUGGAAGCUGCGUGCGUAAAAUGUUCAUGCAUAUUAGAGCUAACUAACAUGUAGAGAUAAGGAAAAAGACAUCGAAAGUAGACGGUAUACACACACUUACUUGAAGUUGUAUGGAAGUAGUAUGAAAUCCUUGAAUGUUUGUUUGUGUAGGAAAUUGUAUAUUUCGGCAAAGGUUUUUUCCGGCGCUAAUUGUAUCUGUUGUUGGUUAACUACAGAUGGAUCCAUGAAGCCUACAUGUAGGUACGCCUCUCGGCGGCAUGUCUGAAUUAGCAUCCUACAUGAAAUGGAAGAUGAAGUUAGUACGGUGACGCACGCCAAAAUUUACAUGUAGAGAUAAUAAACGGACACUUACAGAAUCCAAGCGCUGAUCAGAGAGACGUCCAGGGCAUCAUGAUGGUACACUUCGUAUAUAUCCUUGAAGUCUAGCCACAGCACUUUCUCCCCUUCACCGUGAAAAUCUAUCGGUUUUACCUUCAUGCCGAUCAUCUCCCUCGAUUUGGCGGAUGCCGUCAUGUACCAUUGAUGGAAUUCGUACAUCUUUGUUGACAGCUUCCGUACCAUUGCCGGCUUCACUAGAGGCUUGCCUAGCUCAUAAGGCCAUCUCGGCUCAGGGGGCGGUGCAGUUGGCGUCUCGACUUGCCCUAUGCAUUCUUCAAGUCCCAGACCUGUUUCUUCCAUGAACUUCAAUAUAUUUUCUUGUUGAUCCAAGGGCAUUGCUUUUACCCGUUGAGCAUCUUUCUUUGAUAAAUGGCUGAGGUCGGGGACUGAACCGCUGGAGGAUGAUUUUCCUUUUCUUUUAUCCUUUUCAUCAGCCUUUACUAGAGCCCGUUCAUAGUUUGACAAGAGUGGUAUCCUUUUCUUGGCUCCUUCCUCCAUCCUGAUAAAAAAGUUUAAAUCCCGCCGACUUACUGGCGGUGGCUCCAUCUCCCUUGCCCUUUUUAAUUCGGCUUGUUUCUUGAACCACUCACUGGCCUCUCGUUGGAUUUCUGCCCACUGUUCCGCAUGAGACAUUGCCUCAAAGCGUUCCUUGCGAGCCACUUCAGGGUCGACCUUUGUUUUCUUCUUUCGAGGCUGUCUUUGCUUGGGAGGCGGUGCUCGUGACUUCUUGAGUGGUGCUGCAGGUUCCUUCGAGGGGGCCGCUCUUGGUGCCAGCGACGGUGAUCGGGGAGGGGUGUUGUUAUUGUCGUCGUCGCUCCCAGCACCAGGAUGUGGUGGAGAUGGAGACCUUGAUAUAGAUGGAAGCGACGGUCCUGGAGCAGGAGAUGCCGGUCUCGAGGUAUGAGGAGAAGGUCGCUGCUCGGGAUCUACGGGGAGCGGUCUUGAGGUCUGAGGAGAUGGCUCCGUGCGGGAAAUAAUGAUGUAGCGUUUCUUCCAUAGAAUGAUCCCAUGAAGCGCAUCUGCCAAUGUCUUUUCCCCGUCGCCUCCCGGGAAGUCGAGCUCUAGACCUUCAUACUGGGCAUCUACUAUUUGCUCGACGCAGACGCUGGCGUAGCCUGUUGGAAUGUCCAUGCCAUGACUGCUCUGCCCUGCCAGCGUUGGUAACGCACUCCCAUACGCUACCUGUACAUAUAGCAGAAGUAAACAAGUUGAACUCCGAUCUCGAGGCCUGGAUCAAUUGACAAGAUUGCAUAAAUAUUAUGUAUAAGUAUACCUUAAUAGUGAGGUUGCCGACCGGUGCAUGCAGCUCACAUGAGGUCCGUUGCGUGAUGGCAUCCACGGGGAACCGUUGCUCCUCCACGGGUAACCUGGGCGUCUGCGCAUCGGGGACCCCUGUAGAAGCACAACUGCUCCCGAGGCGUUGAGAAGGGCUGGCGGUGUGAGGAUUCGGCAGUGCUCCAGAUUGCGCCAACUCCGCAACUGCGUCGGCCACCCGCCGAUUGAUUUCAUCCAUCAUUCGUUGUUCUAGCAUCUGCCGCCAGCUCUCCUCCAUCUGUUCCUUUCUUCGCUUCCGGCUUCUGUAAGAGGCGCUGUCGCCUCGGAAAGCGAACUUCCACGGAACCACCCCGAACCCCCGGCAACGUCCUGGGUGCUCUGGAUUACCGAGGGCCAAUGUGAGCUCAUCAUUUUCUCGGUCCACCCUCAACCUCCCAGCCUUGGAAUCUUCAAUGUUCUUCAUGAGAUGUUCGGCCUUCUCACGUAUUCUGUCAUUGAAAAUCAGCGUCCCAUCCUCUUGGCUUAGGGAGCCUCCAUGAGCGUAGUACCAGUUCUUUGAUCGUUCGGGCCAUUCAAUAGUUGCAGGUAUGAUUCCCCGUUCGAUCAGAUCUUGUUCCAUCUUUCUCCACUUGGGAAUUGCUGAGCCAUACCCACCUCGCCCCAAAUGAUGGUGGUAGCCCUUCUGACUAGCAUUUGCAACGUUGGUCGUGAUCUUUUUCACACCUUCUUCACUCCUCUUGUAUUCAACAAAUGCAUCCCAGUGGUCCCUCAACUUGGGCCACGCGUUGAAGUCUGGAGUUUUGCCCUUCUUGAUGUAGUGGGUGUCCAGCAUCUUCUUGAAUGUCUGGAAUUGAGUAGCCAUCUUCUUAAGUGUCCACGCUUUGACAUCCUUCUCGCUAUAAUCUUCGGGGAAUGUGAAAUGCCUCUUCACGUCUUCCCACAGCAUAUUCUUUUCUGUCUCUGGAAGGGCGUACGGAUUAUCGCUUCUGCCCUUCCAUUCUCUGAUGCUGAUAGGCACGUUGUCCCGGACAAUUGCCCCGAUUUGACUAACGUACUUCUUUGCGACUUUCUCGGGAGCAACCGGCCUGCCCUCAUCUGUAACUUCGGUGAUGACAAGCCUCCCUUCCAUCACCUUUGUACGACCUCGGGUCUUCUGCCCUUGUGUCGAUCCGGAGGGCUAACAGUUUAAGAUUCGUUAAUUAGUACGUACUAGUAGCGGUGGCGUGAAACAAUACAAGAAUGGUUGUAUAUACCUCGCCGGAACCUUCCGCCACGGCAAGUUGUUGCUGCGGCUGUUGCUCUUCAUUCACAUCGGCAGACAUGUUGAGGAACAUGUCCGCCUGGGUGCCCUCUUCAUCCGUGUAUGAUAGUGGAACGUUGUCGCCACUAUCAUCACCAGCGAUUAUCUGCUCCAUGAUAUACCUUGCGGUCUCAUCGUCUGCCAUUUCAACUAUUGCUGCAAACAUACAUGGAAUCAUACAUGACAGUCAUAGAAAUCGUCUUAAUACAAAUUUGUAUAUAAUCACAGUUCGGAAUCAUACAUGUAUAUAAUGAAAUCAUAAAAUAACAUGAAUCGUACAAAGUCCGGAAUCUUUAUACAAAUUUCUAUGAAUUUAUACAAAUUUCUAUGAAUUUAUACAAAUUUCUAUGAAUUUCUAUGAAUUUCUAUGAAUUUCUAUGAAUUUCUAUGAAUUUCUAUGAAUUUAUACAAAUUUCUACGAAUUUCUAUGAAUUUCUAUGAAUUUCUAUGAAUUUAUACAAAUUUCUACGAAUUUCUAUGAAUUUCUACAAAUUUCUACGAUUUUCUAUGAAUUUCUACAAAUUUCUACGAAUUCCUACGAAUUUUGACGAAUUUCUACGAAUUUUGACGAAUUUCUACGAAUUUCUACGACGGCGAUAAGGGCGGCGAAGGCGGGACGGCGGCGGUCAGGGCGGCGGAGGCGGGACGGCGGCGGUCAGGGCGGCGGAGGCGGUUCACCGGAACCACGGGCGGUGCCUAAGCUACUACGUUGUGAUGGGCGGCAGGACGGCGGCGAUCACGGCGGCUACUCGGCGGCGAUCACGACGGCUACAAGGCGACUGUCACGGUAGCUACUCGGCGGGACGGCGGCGAUCACGACGGCGGGACGGUAGUUAACAACCUAACUACAAAUCUAACUUAACAAACUAACUAGAAAUCUAAAAAUCUAACUUAACAAAAUUAGAAAUCUAAAAAUCUAACUUAACAAAAUUACAAUUCCAUCUAAAAAAACAAAAUUAAAAAUUAAAAGAAAACGGCCAGCUCUCCCGGCGCACCGGCCGGCGCGGCAGACCUCUCGCGCGCGGGGCGGCGGCCGGGGCGGCGGGACGGCGGCGGCCGGGGCGGCCUGACGGCGGCGGCUGGGGCGGCGACGAGGACGAAGACGACGACGGCGGGAUGACGGCGGCCGAGGCGAAGACGACGACGGCGGCCGGCGAGGGGCGACGAGGAUGGAGCUGGCGACGAGGGGCGAUGCAGCCGGCGAGGGAGGCGGACGGGCGGCGACGGGCGGAGAGGGAGGCGGACGGGCGGCGACGGGCGAGGGAGGCGGACGGGCGACGACGACGGCGCAAUGCGGGACUUCGACGGCGCAAUGGGGGACGACGACGGCGGCGGCCGGCGAGGGAGGCGGACGGGCGGCGACGGGCGGAGAGCGCGGGACUUGCGAAAAUUUCGCUAAGUGUGGAACUGGCGGGGGGUAGAAGGGAGUACAGUGCUUUUAACCCCCCCCCCCUUUUAUCCCGGUUCGUAAUGGCACCCGGGACAAAAAGGGCCUUUUGUCCCGGGUCCUGUCACCAACCGGGACAAAAGGCCCCCCCUUUUAUCCCGGUUGGUGACGGGACCCGGGAUAAAAGGGUGCGCUCCCAGCCCCACCUGGCGGGGGCACCCUUUUAUCUCGGGUCCCGUUACCAACCGGGACAAAAGGCCCCCCCUUUUAUCCCGGUUGGUAACGGGACCCGGGACAAAAGGGUGCCCCCGCCAGGUGGGGCUGGGAGCGCACCCUUUUAUCCCGGGUCCCGUCACCAACCGGGAUAAAAGGGGGGGGCCUUUUAUCCCUGUUGCAAAUGGCAACCGGGAUAAAAGGGUACGUUCGGGCGGGAGACGAAACGUACCCUUUUAUCCCGGUUGCCGUUUGCAACCAGGAUAAAAGGGGGGCCUUUUAUCCCGGUUGCUGUUAGCACCCGGGACAAAAGGUCCUUUUUCCUAUUUUUCUUCUCCCGCCUGUUUUUUGGAAAUGGAUUUUAUUUAACCUUUUCACUGCAUUCCAGGAUGAAAAACAAAACCUUCUCAGAUUUUGUACAUGCAAAAAUAUAUUUAAUUAACGAGUAAAUUGACAAUAAGUAUGAAGUAAUCAUUAUUUCUAUACCAACUCAUAUAGCCUGUAAAAUAUUUAUUUUACUGCAUUGCUGUGAUCAAUAAAUUAUUCAAUUAAAUUUUUUGAAUGCGCAGAAAAAUCCAUGUUAGUAUGUGGUUAACAAUGUUCAUGUAUAUCUAAAAAAUCUUCACCUAACAAAUUUAAUUACAAAUUUUAUCAAUUAAUACACAAAGGUCAUGCACAUUUAACGCAUUACAAUACAACGUUGUAAAAUUUCUUCUUCACGAAAGUUCCUUGAUCAUGAUCGCGGCGUAAGUACGGAGCCUCUUCUUUGGACAGCAGGAUGCUUGGAUCAACUUCAACGUCGAAUGGAGGCAUGCCAUCAAACUGAUCAUAAUCAUCUGAUUGGUCUGUUUUAUCCUCGACUCCCACGAUUUUUCUUUUACCUAGAAGAACUAUGUGGCACUUUGGCUCCCAUGUCUCUUCUGGAUUCCUCUUGGGUUUGCUGCACAUGUCCUUCACAUAGAACACCUGAUGCACAUCAUUGGCAAGUACGAAUGGGUCAUCACUGUAUCCAGUCUUGCUCAGAUCUACUAUUGUCAUUCCGUACUGAUCUUUGGUGACGGCAGUUAGCUUCACCCAAUUGCAAAGAAAUAGAGGGAUGUACAGCGGUCCGUAUUCGAGUUCCCAUAUCUCCUGUAUGAAACCAUAAUACGACUCCUUGCUAUUAUUUCUGUCCAUGGCAUCUAUGCGGACACCACUAUUCUGGUUCGUGCUUUUCUGGUCCUGGGCUCUCGUGUAAAAUGUGUAACCAUUUAUCUCAUAGCCUUGGAAUUUGACGAUUGUGGUAGCAGGUCCCCUGGCUAACCAAGCAAGCUGUGGGUGAAUCUCAGAGUUACCCAUAAGUUGUUGGCGCAACCAGGAGGGAAAAGUUUCCAUGUGAUGACGGGUAAGCCAAGCAUCGGAUUUGGUCGGGUUUUUGGAAGCUACCAUCUGCCUGUGCUGCUCGAUAUACGGAGACACAAAGGAUGACUGUUGUAGAACAGUGUAGUGUGCCUUGUCGAACAAAUUAGUAUCAUUGCUCAAACUUGAUUUCCUUCCAAGGGUGCCCAUUCCUCGGAGCCUCCCCUCGUGGCGUGAAGUUGGAACCCCAAUCGAGUCAAUUGAAUCAAUAAAAUCAACACAAAACUCGAUCACCUCCUCUGUUCCAUAUCCCCUGGCGAUGCUUCCUUCUGGACGAGCACGAUUACGAACAUAGUUUUUUAGGACUGCCAUGAACCUCUCGAAAGGCCACAUAUUGUGCAGGUAUACAGGUCCGAGAAUACCAAUCUCUUUUACUAGGUGAACCAGUAAGUGCGUCAUAUUAUUGAAGAAGGAUGGUGGAAAUAACAACUCAAAACUGACAAGACAUUGCACCACAUCGUUCUGUAGCUUUGAUAGCUUGGAUGGAUCGAUUGCCUUCUGCGAAAUCGCAUUGAGAAACGCGCAUAGCUUUACGAGCGGCAACCGGACAUUUUCGGGUAGAACACCCCUCAGUGCAACCGGAAGCAACUGGGUCAUCAACAUGUGGCAGUCAUGAGCCUUGAGAUUUGUAAACUUCUUUUGUUUCAUAUUUAUUAUUCCCUUUAUAUUCGAGGAGUACCCAGACGGGACCUUCAUACUAUUCAAGCAUUCAAACAUACUAUCCUUCUCCUCCUUGCUGAGAGUGUAACUGGCAGGACGUAAGUAGUGCUGUCCAUUAUCUCUCUUUUCCGGAUGUAGGUCAUCUCGUUGCCCCAUGGCUUUCAGGUCCUGUCUUGCUUCCAAUGUAUCUUUUGAGGUUCCAUAAACACCCAUGAAGCCUAGCACGUUCACGCAAAGAUUCUUCGUCAGGUGCAUCACGUCUAUUGCGUUGCGAACCUCUAGGAUUUCCCAAUAAGGUAGCUCCCAAAAUAUUGACUUUUUCUUCCACAUGGGUGCAUGUCCGUUAUCAUCGUUCGGAAUAGGUUGGCUACCAAGUCCCUUUCCAAAGACUACAUGUACAUCCUUCAUCAUCUCGAACACACGCUUUCCAUUACGGUGUGCAGGUUUUUUACGAUGGUCUGGCGUCCCUUUGAAAUGCAUCCCGCUCUUUCUCAGCUGGUGGUGAGCAGGGAGAAAUCGACGAUGACCCAUAUAGACGACCUUCUUACAGUGCUUCAAGUACAUGCUAUCUGUGUCAUCUAAACAGUGGGUGCAUGCCCGAUAUCCCUUAUUUGUCUAUCCUGAAAGGUUACUCAAUGCAGGCCAAUCGUUGAUGGUUACGAACAACAGUGCUCGUAGAUUAAAGAUCUCUUGUCUAUCCUCAUCCCACACACGUACACCUUCUUCCUUCCAGAGCUGUAAAAGGUCAUCAACCAACGGCCUUAGGUACACGUCAAUGUCGUUGCCGGGUUGUUUUAGGCCUUGGAUAAGCGCCGGCAUCAUAAUGAACUUCCGCUUCAUGCACAGCCAAGGAGGAAGGUUGAACAUACAAAGGGUCACAGGCCAAGUACUAUGACCACUACUCAACUCACCGAAUGGAUUGAAUCCAUCAGUGCUUAAACCAAACCUUAUGUUCCUUGCUUCACUUUCAAAGUCUGGGAAUGUUCUAUCAAUUGAUCUCCACUGUGCCCCAUCUGCGGGGUGUCUCAGCAUCUCAUCUUCCUUACGGUCUUCUUUGUGCCAUCGCAUCAACUUAGCAUUCGCCUUGUUCCUGAACAAGCGCUUCAAGCGUGGUAUUAUAGGGAAAUACCACAUCACCUUCACGGGAACUCUCUUCUUGGGAGACUGCCCCUCGACAUCACCAGGAUCAUCUCGCCUGAUCUUAUACCGCAGGGCUUCGCAGACGGGACAAGCAUCCAAUUCCUCGUAUUCAUCACCACGAUAGAGGAUACAGUCAUUAGGGCAUGCGUGUAUCUUCUGAACAUCCAAUCCGAGAGGGCAAAUAAUCUGUUUAGCUUCAUAUGUUGUGGACGGUAAUUCAUUAUUCUCGGGGAGAAUCUUCUUGACAAUUCUCAACAUCCCCUGAAAUGCCUUAUCGGACACACCAUUUUUUGCCUUCCAUUGCACAAAUUCUAGUGUCGUACCUAGUUUUUUAUGGCCCUGCUGGCAACCUGGGUACAACAAUUUUUGGUGAUCAUCUAUCAUGCGCUGCAACUUUGCUGCUUCCUUCUCAGUUUCGCAAUCUCUGUAUGCAUCUCGUAUCACCUGACCAAGGUCAUCAGUAGGGUCAUUUUCUGCAAACUCAUCUUCAUCAGCCUCGCCCAUUGUAGUACCUGCAAAAGCUUGGCCUGCAACCCAGUCCGGAAUGGUGUCAUCUUCCUCCUCCUCCUCGCCAUCUUCCAUUACAACCCCUAGUUCACCGUGCUUGGUCCAAACCAAAUAGUUAGGCAUGAAACCGUAUUUAAACAAGUGGCUGUGAAUAGUCCCCCAGGAAUUCUUUGAAUACUCCUUCCUGUUAUUGCAUUGGAAGCAUGGACAACAUACGAACCCAUUCUCUGGCUUGUUCGCUUUUGCCACUUCGAGAAAAUAAUGCAAGCCAUCAAUAAACACCUUGCUCCGCCUGUCUGCAUUAUACAUCCAAUGCCGGUCCAUCUGCAUCGUAUUACGCACGAAAAUGGAUUACACUUGACAAUGGAUUACGCGUGAAAAUCGAUUAAAGAUCCAAACAACAUGGUACAAUACAACAACAUGAAGAUCCAAAUACACAUAUUUAAAUUAAAGUCCCAAACACUGCAUAAGUUGUUCAACUUGAAGACCGUGAUCAUCUCGUGAGGAUGUCCUCAACUGGGCGGCACCGCACUUCGUCAUUAAAGAGGUUAGAUGCUACGGAAAAGGGGACACGGUCACAAUGUCCGUAUCCACUCUUUCUCGUAGAAUCGAACCUCCUUCUUGACAUACGUUGCUGCUCGGCGGAGAACAUCCUCGGCGAGAUGAACACGGUAUGCAAGUUCAACAAGUAGCAGAAGUCAUCUAUGUACAAAAAUUCUUUCCUUACCACUACAGAAGUUGUUGAACUUGAAGACCGUGUUCAUUUCGCGAGGAUGUCCUCAGCUAGGCGGCACCGCACUUCGUCAUGAAAGAGGUUAGAUGCUACGGAAAAGGGGACACGGUCACGAUGUCCGUAUCCACUCUUUCUCGUAGAAUCGAACCUCCUUCUUGACAUACGUUGCUGCUCGGCGGAGAACAUUCUCGCCGAAAUGAACACGGUAUGCAAGUUCAACAAGUAUAUGGAUUUAAAAAACCAUAUUGAAUUUGAUAAGAUAAACCGUCUAGACAAGGUAGCAUCAUUUUUAAACCACUGAAAUAAUGCAUACUAUAUAUGACACAUCAAUCUCCCUCACAUUCUAGCUCAAAAUACCUCUCCAUUUUUCUACUUCAUCAUCACAUUGUAGCAAAUAAUCUUUCCAUCUCCAAAGCAUAAAUCAAAGCAUAACACGAGGAUGAAGUAGCAAACCUUCGCAGCACUUGUUGGCUGAGUCAAAUUCCCACGAAAAUGAGGGAAAAAAGUUCGGGCAGCACCUCCCUUGCUUGGGCACCACCGGAGAGUAGGUGAAGCUCAGCUCUCUAUCAAUGUGCUGGACUGCUCGGGCUGGAGGAAGAAGAAAGUCUCUGUCUCGGGGUAUAGUGGGGGAUGAGUUUUAAUCCCGGUUAAAAACUCCAACCGAGACAAAAGGAAACACCUUUUGUCCCGGUUGGAAAGUUAGUCCCGGUUGGAGGAUCCAACCGGGAUAAAAGGGACACCCUUUUAUCCCGGUUGGAGGCACCAACCGGGACUAACCCUUUUAUCCCGGUUGGUGCCUCCAACCGGGAUAAAAGGGUGUCCCUUUUAUCCCGGUUGGAUCCUCCAACCGGGAUAAAAGGGUCCCGCCACCGACGGCCCCCGCUAGCCGUUGCAACCGGGACUAAAGGGGGGCCUUUAGUCCCGGUUGCAAUUACCAACCGGGACUAAUGCUCCCCUCCAAAUUCCCGCACCCCGGCGCACCCCCUUUUGUCCCGGGCCACUUUUAAACCGGGAUAAAAGGGGGUUGAUCGAAAGUCAGUUCUCUACUAGUGAUCGGUGACUCCGCUCGAGGAGAAUUGUUUAUAUCAAGCAUAGAAAUGACAACGUUGGAAGUGGAGGAUAUAUUUUGCUCUGUUGAUUUAAUUGCCGCGAGAGUGGCGGACAAGUUCUAAUGAUUGAAGAUCAGAAGCGUCUCGUGGAGAAUUUUUCAGAAGCUAUAUUUGGAAUUAUUAUAUUAUCUCAGGAGCAGAUUAAAUAUAACGCCACCACUGAAAGCCGAUGAGAUGUAUCUAUCGGCUACAUGCUAUUCAGAUGAAUUUGAUGACAGAUUAAUUACGGAGGAGACCGACCGAUACAACAUUAUGGUUUCUUACUGCUGAUCUGUUAUGAAAGAGGAUGUGAGAAGCUGAUAAUCAAGCAACAAUAAAAUGAUAUACACGCAGGGCAUUAAAUAUUGAGUUAAUGAUUGGGAGUACUACCAUUAUCUUAUGAAAAGUCCAUCGGCUAACCAAACAGCGUCAGCCGAUGGAAGCAAAUAGUGUCAGCCGAUAGAAUGAUGUUAUAUAAGUAUAUAUAUCGGCCUCCGAGCCAAUGGGAAGUAGGAACUAUCAGCCGAUGCACACAUCCAUGGACAUAGCCGAUAAGACAUUGUAUCGGCUGCUUGGCAAAUAAAAAUAGCAUCGGCUGACCGCUUGUUAAAAUAUUAUCGGCCGAUUGCUUGGCAAAAUAGUAUUGGCUGACUGCUUGGCAAAUAAAAAAAUAAUAGGUUGACCAAAAAAGGAUAGCAUUGCCUGAUUGCUUGGCAAAUAAAAAAAAUUACGUCGGCUGAUUGGUUCCAGCAAAAUAGUAUCGGCUGCUUGUUGAUCAGAAAAAGCCGAUACUGUUACAGCUCCCGCAACUGUGCUUUGCUGUCAUCGGCUGGGUUGUUCGUGCUCCAUCUGCAAAUAUUUGUCCCGGCUAGAAAGUAUCGUACGUGCAUUGGGAUUCGGCAGUACAAAUCACGUACACGCGUAUGGUCUGCUCAGAAGCUGUCUGUUCGACGAAGUUCCAGGCCAAUGGUGGAGACUUGAUGACCAUGGUGACCUGCAUUAAUCAACAUGAAGUAUGUAUCGGCUGUUCGGUGAUUGGUAGCAAAUCAGCUUUCUCAUAGCCGGUGACAUAUGGGGCAAGAAAUAUCAGGCUUAAAAAAGGACAGUACGAUCAAUGUCGAAAGUUGUAGCCGACGGUUCUAUUAUUGUGCAGUCGAUGGAACAUAGAAGAUGCAUCUGAAUGAGCAAAAGGAAGGGAGCCGAUAGAAGGGAAUUUAAGUUGCAUGAGAUCCAAUUAAAUUAAGAUGACGAGAGGUGUUGACAUCGAAUCAUCGGACUUCUACGAAGUCUUCAUACUCCGAAACUAGGGAGUCUGUGUUAACACCAAAAUUUAGAAAUAUGCUGAUGCAAAAAAAUAAUGAAAUCUCCUAAAUAAGGCUCAAGAAAGAAAAAGCAAGAAAAGAAAAUCAAUCGCACGCGGCAAGAAUUGAAUAAAAUAUUCUAGAGGUAGAGUUGGUUAGGAUAAGCUUAAUUAGGGAUAGAGUUGGAUUAGUUAGAGAUAGUAUUUUGAUUAGAAAAGAUUGUGUACAUGACUUGUACGUGGUGCGUCAGAGGCCAUCCGCCCUAUAAAUAUAAGGGGUCGUGGCCAUUGUAAUUAUCAUCACACGAUCAAUAUACAACAUAUUUAUCUUUUACCUUUUCGGCUUCACGCCAUUGUAUUAGGAGUAGGAGUAAUGUAGCUUCCUGACGAGUUCCUUCUAGCAAGCUGUGCUGCAUUGACCUUGAUCUCUGGCGAGCUGCAAAGUUCCGUCACCAGGUGUUCUAGGCUUUAACCACCGGGCGCAUCGCUUGUGGUUUCGUCUAGUUUCAUCUACAAGGUAUCGAAUAUCAUGGAUCUUUAACUUACGCAUCGCUUCUGUCUUGAUCUACGGUAUUCACCAGUUAUCCUGCCUUGGUUAAGUCUGCAUCGGCUGAUAUUUAUCUGUUCUAUCAUCUUGCCGUUCAGUUUGCUUUAAUUAGCUUUAGAUCGGUUCAUUAUAGAUGAUAGAUCGCUUAAUAGCCUGUUGCAUCUUAAUCUUGGUUACCCCUUCAAGUGCUGUUGGGAUUAAGUUUCGUUAUGAUUGGAUUCAUCGGCUGGUGGGGUUGGUGGGGUUCAGAUUAACAUCGUGCUAAAUAUUUCUAGACUGCAACUACUGGACGCAUCGCUGUGGUUUCAUCUAGAGAUAUUGGUAGAGAGUUUAGUUUAGAUCUCAUCGGUUCGUGGCUCUAGCUAUGGUGGAGCGGCAGCUGAAUAGCAUCCUGUUUUCUAUCGGUCGCCUGGCCGAUAGUUAUUGCAAAAUAUAUUAAAUCGCCUGGAUGGCCGAUGGAUCACUCACGCUCGUCAAGGAUCAUAUCGGCCUGAUCGGCCAGUUGCCUCGGACUUCAAAGGAUUAUUUUCACCUUGUCAGUUGAAUGGUCAAACUGGCUGGCACGCCCGCGCACACCAUGCGCGCCGAUUUGGAUUUUGCACUGGAGUUAAGUAGAUCUUCCAGGUCCUCAUGUGGUGACGAAGGAUCCACCACCAUCAGGAUUUUGCGUCAACACAUUUUGGCACGCCCAGUGGGACACGGUUAUAAGGUUCAUAUUUUUAUUCAUAUAAAAAAGCAUCUUCGGCAUCAUCGGCCAAAUGAGUGUUCAUCGGCUUGUUAGAAUUAAUUCAAUAUAAUAUUUCAGCAAAAGCAGCCGAUGUAGCGAUUGGAGAUAAGGCCAAGUCAAGUCUGCGUGUAUACGCAUGUUCCGGUGGGAUCAUCUUCAUAAAUGCCAAUGACGAUUAGAGAUGAAGCUUCCUGCAAAAUGAUUGGCUACUCUAUCCGGGAAGAAUUGCUUUUUUAUGAGGCAUAUAUAGAGACCCAUGUUGCAAUUAGGGGGCGUAUUCGUGCAUUGGCUGAAAUAAAAAAAUGCAUCGGCAUAUUGAAAAUUGCAUCGGCCGAUUGACAGUCGUAUCAGCUGAUUGGAAAAAUAAAAAGGGAUCAGGGAUCCGCCGAUUGAAAAUUGCAUCAGCUGAUGGAAAAUGAGAGCAACAGUUACAAUAUUUUUUUUAAAAGAAAGCAAGUAUCGGCAAGCAGUAGCCGAUGGAUUUGUAUUUCAGCCAAUGGGGUUUUUGUUUCAGCUGAUAGUACUACUGGCUGAUGGCAAGUCCAAUGGAGUUAAAAUUGCAUUGACUGAUUGAAAUAAAAAUUAAGUAUCGGCUAAUUUAUGGCCAAGUAGCAUCUGCUGAUUUGUUGCAAAGUAGUUUCGGCUGAUUUAUGGCAAAAUAGAAUCGGCCGAUUUAUGGCAAAGAAGCCAAUAGACAAAAGCAUCGGCUGGUAGAGAAGCCGAUUGAGCAAGCAUCUGUUGAUGAGCUAUGUAUGGGAAAAAGUAUUGGCUGCUUAAACAAUUGACAAAAGCCAAUUGGUCAGACUGAGAAGCCAACUGGGAAAGCAUCGAUCGAUGGAUUGCGUAUGGGAGAGAGUAUCGGUUGAAGUCUUUAGUAUUGACUGCUAGAUAUUUGAGCAAGCGUCGGCCGAUUGACUGCUUGGUAAAAAAAACAUCGGGCUGAUUGCUUGGUUAAUAAAAAAAUUGCAUCGUUCAAGCAAAGAUUGCAUGGGCUGAUUGGUUCAAGCAGAAUAGUAUCGGUUGCUUAUAGAAUAUAUCGGAUAUUAAUUUCGAAGCAUGAAAAUAUUCAUACUCCGAAACUGGGGGGCCUGUGUUGACAACAAAAGCUUGCUGGUUACUGCAUCAAGUUUUGGUGUCAACAUACUUGAUCUUUUGUUUCCAUUGCCAGCGGAUUCAUCGGCUCAGAGUGGGAUCAAGACAUCAAGCUGAUGGAGUUCUUUAUAUUUCAAGAGGAGUCAUGGAGUUCUUUAUAUUUCAAGAGUAGUCGAUGGUGCUUUGAAUAUUGCAACCAGACGUCAUUGGCUCUAAAGAUACCGAAUCAUCGGACUUCUAUGAUCAGUUUCGGAACAUGAAGCCUUCAUACUACGAAACUGGGGGCCUGUGUUGACACCGAAUCAUCGGACUUCUAUAAUUAGUUUUGGAACAUGAAGCCUUCAUACUUCGAAACUGGGGGGCCUAUGUUAACACCAAAAUUUAGAAAUGUGCUCUGAAAGGAAGGUAUCGGCCGAUGAUGCAAAAAAAUAAUGAAAUCUCCUAAAUAAGGCUGAAGAAAGAAAAGCAAGAAAAGGAAAUCAACGCACACGGCAAGAAUUGAAUAAAAUAUUCUGGAGAUAGAGUUGGUUAGGAUAAGCUUGAUUAGAGAUAGAGUUGGAUUAUUUAGAGAUAGUAUUUUGAUUAGAAAAAAUUGUGUACAUGACUUGCCUUGUACGUGGUGCGUCAGAGGCCAUCCGCCCUAUAAAUAUAAGGGGUCGUGGCCAUUGUAAUUAUCAUCACACGAUCAAUAUACAACAUAUUUAUCUUUUACCUUUUCGGCUUCACGCCAUUGCAUUAGGAGUAGGAGUAAUGUAGCUUCUCGACGAGUUCCUUCUAGCAAGCUGGGCUGCAUCGACUUCGAUCUUCGGUGAGCUGCAAGUUCCGUCACCAGGUGUUCUAGGCUUUAACCACUGGGCGCAUCGCUGUGGUUUCGUCUAGUUUCUUCUACCAGUUACCGAGUAUCUUGGAUCUUUGACUUAUGGCACAUCGCUUCUGUCUCGAUCUACGGUAUUCACCAGUUAUCCCGCCUUGAUUAAGCUUGCAUCGGCUGAUAUGUAUCUGUUCUUUCAUCUUGCCGUUCAAUUUGCUUUAGUUAGCUUUAGAUCGGUUCAUCAUAGACAAUAGAUCAUUUAAUAGCAUGUUGCAUCUUGAUCUUAGCUAUCCUUCGAGUGUUGUUGGGAGUAAGUUCCGUUGUGAUUGGAUCCAUCAGCUAGCAGGGUUUAGAUUAACAUCCUGCUAAAUAUUUCUAGACUGCAACUACCGGGCACAUUGUUGUGGUUUCACCUAGAGAUAUUGGUGGUGACGUUAGUUUAGAUCUCAUCGGCUUGUGGCUCUAGCUAUGGCGGGGCAACAACUCAACAACAUCCUGUUUUCAAUCGACCGUCUAACUGAUAGCUAUUGUAAAUUAUAUUAAAUCGGCUGGAUGACGAUGAAUCACUCACAUUCAUCAAGGUACUGGAAUCGGCUUCACAGCCGAUAUAUUUGUCAUGAUUUAUUUUGUUGCACCAUUAUCGCUACUGUGCUAGGAUUAUAUCGGCCUAAUCGGCCAGUUUCCUCGGACUUCACAACGACUAUCAUCUCCUUGUCAGUUGAAUGGUCAAACUGACUGGCAUGCCCGCGCACACCACACGUGCCGAUUUGGAUUCUGCACUGGAAUUAAGCAGAUCUCCCAGGUUCUCAUGUGCUGAUGCAGGGUCCACCACCGCCAGGAUUUUGUGUCAACACCUUGUAAUCUUCCUUUGAUUUCCUCAAUGAUUCGAAGACAAUAACCUUGCUUGUAUAAAUGAUAAUUAUAAGGAGAACCUAGUGGAAACUGUGUAUUCAUAUUAGAACUACCUAUGGUUAAUUAGGUUAGGAAAGGAAAUCGAAAAUAGACCGUACCCACACUUACUUAAAGUUGUUGGGCAGUAGUAUGUAAUGCUUGUAAUUCUGUUACUCCAAGAAUUUGUAUAUGUGGUCCAAUGUAGACUUUGGUUGAUCCCAUAUCUGUUGUUGGUUAAAUAAGUGUUUCUGGCCAUUUCUAGCCGUUAGAACCGGAACUAAAGGGGGCUCUUUAGUACGGGUUGAUAUUACUAACCGGGACUGAAGAGCCCCCAUUACAGUUGGUUUUUGGACGCGGAACUAACAACUCCUUUAGUCCCGAGUCCAAAAACGACUGAGAUAGAAGAUCCUUUCUCUACCGUGAAUAUUGCCAGAAAGAAUUGAAAGAGACCGCUUGCUAAAAAUAUGUCAUAGAUGUAGACCAAGCUACCAAGGAGGUAGACCAAACAUGAUACACACCAUGCGUACCUUGCUGUGCAGACUAUGCAUAGACAAGACACCCGACCACAUGUUGGCCUCGGUCACAUCAAAAGAAUCAUGUAGGCCACCAAUAAACUACUUGAAGCGUCAUUCCGUAUCGUAUAUGCAUUGCCGGUUCAUCUGCAUUACAUUACAUAAAGUAGUAUUAACUAUUUGAAUAAAAUGAACCAAUUUAAAAGUAAUGUGUUGUACUCUACUAUAGAAAGCCCUAUCACUGUCGGAUCCAGAAACAUCAUUGUUGAUGGUCGUUAAGUACCAAGACGGUCAAUAUUCUCAAGAAUAAUGGAGAAUUGGCAUUUCUUACACACAUAUUUGGUUUUGAACAAUGUAGUCCCACAUGUCCUUGGAGAUUAUUUGGGUGUGGGUGAAAUAAUACAAAAAGAAGGAGAAAACACACUCCCAUGGUGAAGAAACAAAACUCCGACCAAUGAGAGAUAGCCACAGGGGCAGCACACGGAUCCAUGGGCCCACAAACCGCAUCAAACUGUCUUACCAAGGCGGGUAGCACCCACAACCAUGAUUAGGACCCACCUGGAUGUCUACCAAGAAGAAGGUUGUGAGUGGGGCCAGGAGGGGUUCGGCUGAAUCAUCUCUAGCUCCCCUCAUCCCCAGCUGGUGCAUGGCGGUGGUUAAUGGUGUCCCUACAUCGGUUAGAGGAGAUUCCCCCAAAUAUUCCUCCUGUAAACCACCUGUAUGGACCUAUACAUAGAGGGGUGUGCUCUCCAAUCCAACACACACCACAAGUUUAAUCACUCUCUCCCUCUUUAAUUUCCAUGUUUAUGGAGUUAGCCUAGAGUAGCUCUGCUCAAGGUUCCAAGUCCACUUGGAGUUAAGCAUAUGUCUCUUGUAUCGUUAUUUCCCAGAUUGACUUUAUGCUUAGUUCUUAUAUGCAUGAGUUAGUCUAAUAGCCUUGCUCUAUUGAUAUGCUCGGCUUAUAUGCUCGUAUGCUAGUCAUAUACCCUUGCUGCCGUAGUAUAGGCUUAUAUGCUCUCAUGUGUGCCUUUAGACCUUGCUACAAUAUAUACUUGUUGUGUAUACAUACCAUGUAUAGGCUAGUCGAUCUAUACCAUGGCAUUGGUUCAAUAGCCAUGUUUUUGGUGGCUCCAACCCUAGUCAGAAUAGCUCGGGACAGCUAGAGUGUUGUUAAAAAUGCAAGAGUGAUGGUUGGGUUGUUUAGCAUCGUUGGAUAUGGGUUUUCCCCACGGGUUUCUAAGAGUAGGCGGCAGCUAGUGACAGCCCUGUCCGUCCUUCGUAAUCCCCCCACAUUCAAGUACGCCAUAGAAGUUCAUAAAUUAGCAGUAACUACACCGGCAGACCGGUAGGGUAUUGUCUCCCUAUAGUACCUUGGUGCAUAGAACUAGGUCAUAUACACUGUGUGUCUAUGUUUACGCUGAUAUGAUCUGUGCAGUAUAUAGCAUGUAUAUAUGAACCUAGAGCUAACUCCUAGUCCAUUCUCCGUAGCUUAGUUAUCUUGAGAUGAUUCUUCUGUGUGUGUAACACUACCCAUCUUAUCAUUAUCCUUAAUCCUGUCUUGUGUAAUAUAUCUACUCAUCCUAUGAUAUACUCAUAUGCAUAGUAAACUAUUUUGACCUACCCGCCUUCCUUUGGGAAAUACGAUACCCUGGAAUAAUCCUAGGUGAAAUGCUACAACGGUAUAUCCAUGUGCUUACGGAAUUAUUCCUGACCAUUAAAUAUACCAACAAUCAUCACUAUCUAUUUUGGGCAUCGUUAGUGAAGGGUCGGCAGUGAUGGGCAUCCCCUUCACCAAUGGAGCUGGAACUGGCGGUGAUGGCCAUUAAAAAAAAUGGGACCCCACCCAGCGUACCCCGCAACCCGGCCGGCUGCGCCUCCCAUCAUCCCCGCCGGUCGCCCUUCCUCUUUGCCGGCCGAGCAUGGUUCCGGCCCUCGUCCCUACCGCCUCGCCUCCAUCGCGACCCCCUGCCGAUGCCCUCAUGCCUGGCCCCCCUCGUCUGGCCGGCCACCCUCCCGAUGCAUCCACCGGGGCCCUCGCACCACCAACCACCCUAGCCUAGAGAGAGAGAGGAGGAGGGAGGUGAGGCCACGCACCUCGUCCUACAACGCCGCUGUUGCUCCUCGGCCCACCGCGCCUCACCCCACACCACAGCCGCACCUCGCCAUCUUACCGGCCGCGACGCCCCAUCUCACCGGCCACCGUUCCUCACCCCCACAUCGGUCAUCGCUGCUCCUUGCCCUACUGCUGCUCUUUGCAGCCGCGAAUGAGGGGCGAGUGGAGGGGGAGGGGCGGGGCAGGAGGAGGGCAAGAUCCGGGAGGAAGGGAGAGAUUUUGGGAGGUGGAGAUGGAAGGAUAUGGCGGAAGGUAGAGAUCUAGAGGGAGAGAGCGGGGGGGAGAGGGGGGCAUGUGGGGAGAGAGCGCAUGUGGGGUGGGGCCGGGCUGGUGGGAUGGAAGGUAGAGGGGCCGGAGGGCGCAGUGCAUUCAACUGGAUUAAGUAAAUAUUUCGGAUUCGAGACCCCAGCUUUAUUAUCACCGCUGGUCCGUAGUACCAUUCGGUGCCGGCUCAUAAUUUAAUUUGAACCGGUGGUGAUGUUUUAUUAUCACUGCUGGUUUCAAUUUUCACCAUCGGAUCAUAUAAAAAUCCGGCGGUUAAAAAUCCGCUGGUUUCGAUGAAAACCGACAGUGAUAGGACGACUGUGAUAGUCUCUUCUCUAGUAGUAGUAUAUUAGUACCGGCUGCCGGAUGGUGUUGCCGACGAGUACUUCUCCAGGGGCGAUUCAGUACUGAUGUUAGCAAAGCUUGUUCUCUAUGAAUUUGGGGAUGGAAAGCUAGUUCUCUAGUUGUGAUUUGUUACAUAUAUCUCUAUGAUAGUCUAGAAAUUGCAUGUCCUUCGUUGACAUAGUUGAAGCUGCUUCAAGAAUUUACUUCGUGCAGUCGUGCAGCAUAUUGGAUUAUCACCUAGACAGGAUACAUAGGUGAAGCAUUGCAUGUGAUUGUGGCUGAUAAUUAUGCAGGACGCUGUUGCAAUCAACCAUCAAGAAGACUGGAGCGAUGGGGUUGCCUCAUCAACAAUUUUUAUAUAUGGCUGCAGUAUUAUUAAGCCCACGUCAAUAAUUUUUUCUCCGCAGCAUAUAUAUGGUUACUCAGUUCGCUGGAGUAUCGCUGUGGAAAAACAUACGUACUGCGCCUCGGAACUAACUGGCAUUCAGGCCAUCAACGACCAGAUAUUUGGGACAACCAACAAAUAGUAGGUGGUUCCUAAGUUGUAGUCGUAUGUACUAAUGCGCCUCGAUGGGGUUUUCUUCAGAUAUUUUAUUGCCGUUCAAUGAACAAGCAGAUACAUAACCUGUGCAGAAAAUUCCAUCUCCACGCAUGCCACUGCACCAACAAGAUCCUCAGUCGACGAUGAUGGCUCAGCCUGUUCCUUCUGCCACCAAAUCCUCAAUCUUCCCUCCAGCAACGGAGAAUGCACCUUUAGUACCUUCAGUAUCAGAUGUUGCAAUCGGUACCGUGAAACCGAGACUAAAAUCCUUACUUUGCAGGGGGCAAAACAAUCUUGCAAAUAUAUAUUUUGAAUUCCAACAAAAUUUAAGAAAUGUUAAAGAUGACUAGCUGAGAGUCAACAGACAAGAUAUGAUAUUAGGAAUGUGGGAGGAUGAAUGCAUUUGUACAGGGGUCAUACUAUUUCCAGACUCUUCUAUAUUUCCAUAUGACUACCUACUUCAAUGUCACGCGAGCCAUUCAAAAAGAUACAUGGUACACUUGUAUGUCUAAUCCAUUAUUGAUUAUUUCCUCUUGUCAUCUCUUACAAGUAUUUCUCCAUACUAUAGAAACGUGCAACACAUUUUUAGGAUAUGGACACGCAUGAUUAAUAUGCUUGGACUAGUAUACAGGUCAUCUUUGGAUGAGUACAUAUGAAUGCCAGGGAGGGACUGAUGGAUAUAAGGAAAAGGGACCAUGCAUAAAUAAUGACAUAUGUAACAUGGCAAUCUUCAUUGCCAUGCAACUCCUAUCAACAAUCAUGGAAUACAUACUACUGCUCCAGAAGGGUGGUGUGCAAAUUUAUUUUACCUCGCGGUGAAAAUCUCCAGAGCAGGCCUGAAGUUAAAAUAAGAGGCAGUCACUAUCGAUCAUGACAGUCUCGAAACUGUACAGCACUAUGCUAGUCCUAGUCCUCAUGUCGUUCGUGCUGUCGUGUAGCAUGAUGGAUUAUUAACUGGGCAGGACACGGAGAUGGCUAGCGAUGACAGAGGAUGACGUACAUGAUAUUCACCUCUGAAAUGAAGCGUAGGCUAAUGAAGCACAAUUGCAUGUGAGUGUGGCAGAUAUUUAUACAGGACAGUGAUUGCAAUAAUCGACCAUCGAGAUCGAAGACAGGGGCGAUGGGGUUGCCUCAUCAAUAAUUCGCGCAACCAGACAAGCUGCAGACUCAAUAUGGUACGAAGCUAUUUGGUCAGCCCACAUGCUCUGAUAUAACAUUGGCAUCUGCUGAUCUACAGUAUAUAUGACCAGAAAUAUUGUGCCACCUCAAUAAUUUUCCGAAGUAUCGUUGGGGAAGCACCUACAUACUAUGCCUCGGAACUAACUGACAUGUUGGCCUAGGCGGUCCAGGCCGAUUGGACAGGCUCUUCCUUAUGGCUCCUCACGUCCCCUUCGUUUCCGAGUAAUCUCAGGUGUUCUGAAGUUUUCUUUUCACUUGCAUGUGGACCUUAUAUAUCAAUAGCUUCGGGAUAAGAAUGCCUCUUGAUAACCUUCCAAAUCGUCGCUUGAUUCACUUUGAUUCCAAAAUCAUCUUGCCAUAUCUUUUGAGACUUAGGCCCUAAGGCAUCAUGGAGGAUUGCUCGCCAAGAAUGAGCACCAUUGGGCUCCUGAGGACCCUAGGCCGAUCAGCCUGGGCUCUAUAGGUUGAUUGGCCCAGGCCCUCUCUGGGCCCAUUGGCCUUCAUCUUUCUCUGAGUCGACGCUUAUUGAGGGCUUUGUCCAAUUAUAGUCCAUUAUAGUCUAAUUUCCAAAAAAAUAGAAUAUCCUCCAAAAUACAAUACAUUUGUGAAAACAGCCCAAUUAUUAGGUAUGAUCAAUAGUCUAGGUAUUAAAUUAAUGUUAUUAUUUAAGAUAAAUAGGGAUAAAGGGUGUCAUUAAUAACGAGCACCAACCAGCGUACCAGCUGUUAACACUAACCGAUGCUAAUAUGUACCCUUUAGUACCGGCUAUUUCACCCGGUACUAAACGAGACAAGAGCACCCUAACAGAGGUUAAUACCAUCCAUUUCAUGAGUAAAAUACUAUGAUUCAAAAAUAAUUCAAAUCCCUUAAGACAAUACCUAUCAAAUGAGUAGAUUGUAAAUAGAGUAAAACAAUGUCCUAAUGAAACGGAACACUUCUGGUUCGUGUAGAGCACAAUAUAGAAAACAGUAGGGUAGCUGUACGAUUGACACGUGGUCCAUUAAUUAUUGAGCCAUCACUAUGGACAUGUCUUCAUGAGUAGUGUACUAGUCAUGACACAUGGUAUGUAGUAGGUGGAGGUAUUGAGUUAGCCAUGCCAUGAGCACUUAGUUACAACAAACACUUUGCCAUUAUCGAGCAUCCCAAAUCACUACAAAAUCCAUAGUUUACCAUAUACUACAAAAUCUGAGUUAAAAUAAGAGCAUACACGGAAGAGUCCGAAUGCACCGGUUUAGGACCAGGCACAUUGAAUUACUAGAAAAAGUUAUCGGACAAGGUUUUGGGUAACCGCAUGAAAAAUGUUGGAUUUUACUGAACACUUAGUUACAAUUACCAUGCCGUGAGCACUUAGUCACCACAAACAUUUAACCACUUUAGAUCAUCCUGAAUCCCUAUAAAUUCUGUACCUUACACCGUACCAUGAAAACGACAAGAACAGAGACAGAUGCAGUGAAAAUCUCCAGAGCAGGCCUGAAAUUAAAAUAAGAGGAGGCAGUCUCUAUCGAUCAGGACACGGAGAUUGCUAGCCAUGACAGAGGAAGACAUGAUAUGAUAUUCACCUCUGAAAUGCAGCGUAGACUAAUGAAGCACAAUUGCAUGUGAGUGUGGCAGAUAAUGGACCAUCGAGACCAUCGAAUGGUAUGAAGCAUGAUUAUCACCUAGACAUGAUAUCCUAGACAGGACGGUGAAUUGUAAAAAGAGUAAUCUUGAUCAAAGAAUGUCCUAAUGAAACGGAACAUUUUUGGUACGUGUAGAGCACAAUAUAGAAAACAGUAGAGUAGUUGUACGAUUGAAACUGCAUCCAUCCACGUGGUCCAUGAAUUGUUGAGCCAACACUGUGGACAUGUCUUCAUGAACACCAUCUAGUGAGGACAGGAUGCAGAAAAAUAUAAAAACAUGUCAUAGGGAGGCAGACCAAUCUUGCAAGGAGGUAAACGAAACGUGAUACACGAUCUGCCUACCUUGUCGUGGAUACCCCAAGAGAAGAUGUCAUAGAGGUGCAGACCAAGCUAGCAAGGAGGUAGAUGAAACGUGAUACACGGCCUGCCUACCUUGCCGUGGAUAUUAGCCCUGAUAUCAUUCUAUUGUUCAAGGAAUAACACUCAAUGCUGCUGCUGCUGCUGACCUGGCUCCAUAAAGUUGUAUUCCUCUAGCCGCUUGCACUAACUUUAUCUGAAGUAUUAUUCUCUCUGCCCUGAUAUCUGAAGUAUUAUUCUCUCUGCUGACUUUGCUGAAGAACCUACAUAAUAUGUCUUGGAACUAACUGACAUUGAUUCACAGACAAACUCUACAAGGUGCUGUUGUUGCCAUAUUUUAGAGCAUCCCAAAGGACUAUAAAUAAUAUAGUUUACCAUAUACCGUAUACCAUUAUAUGUUAGCUAAAAUAAGAGCAUAACAUGUCGCAGGAGUCCAAAAGCACCGGUUGAGGACCAGGUACAUUGAAUUACUAGAAAAAGACAGGGGGCAAUGUUUAGGUAGCCACAUGAAAAACAUUUGAAUUUACUGUUCCAUGAACACUUAGUUACCAUGCCGGGAGCACCUAGUUAACACUAAAAUUUAGCCACUUUAGAUCAUCCCGAAACACCCUCAAUAGCGACAAAUUUUGAUUUAAAUGCCGUCACCAAUGAUCCUCAAUAGCGACGUGUUUAGGUUUAAAUCCCGUCACUAAUAACCCUUGGUAGUGACGUGUUUUGGUUUAAAUCUCAUCCCACUGAUCCUCAAUAGUGACGUGUUUUUAGCAACACACGCUAUGAAUGACUUGUCAUUGGUGACAUGUUAAAUGCGUUAUCUCAAUGGCAAAUCAUUGGUGACGUGUUUUAAAAAAACAUGUCACUGUGAGAGUUAUUGGUGAAGGGUAAUUAAAAUGCAUCACUAAUUUUGUAGCAUUAGUUAUGAUAUAAUUUAGUAACGCAAAAAUCUACCAUCAGUAAUGAGGUUUAGAGCCGUCGCUAAUGUGGGUUUCUUACGAGUGAUGCAAGCUCUACAAGGUGCUGUUGUUGCCAUUUUAAAGCAUCCCAAGUGACUACAAGUUAAUAGCAUAGUUUACCAUAUACCAUAAAAAUAUUAGUUACAAUAAGCACAUCCGCAUGUGGAAGAGUCCGAAUGCACCAGUUGAGGACUAAACACAUUGAAUUACUAGAACCAAAUGUAAGACAAAGAAAGGGGUCAAGGUUUGGGUAACCGCAUUAAAAACAUUGGAUUUUACUGUACCAUGAACACUUAGUUACCAUUACCAUACCUUGAGCAUCUAGUUACCACAAACAAUAAUUUAGCCACUUUAGAGGUUCCAGAAUCACUAUAAAUAAUAUACCAACACCGUACCAUGAAAACAUCAAGAAGAGAGACGGGUACAUGGACCACCAUCAAGUGAGUAGUGACAGCACGCACAAGAAUACCCGGAACCUGUUAGCUUGUCUGUAGUGAUCUGUUUUCUUCCCCAUAAAAUCCAUGAGUAUUGCCACAAAUAAUGAAAGAGGCUGACCAAGCUAACAAGGAGGUAGAGAAAACGUGAUACACGUAGGUUUCAUUCAAGACAUCCAUGUAAGAUUCAUUCAAAACAUUCAUGGAAAUUUCUUGUAAGUUUUCAUGUAAAUUUCAUUCAAGACAUUUGUUAGAGGUGUUGUAUAUAUAUACCUUAACGUACAUAUAUCUAUGAUUUCAUGGUUGUUAGUGAUGGCAGAUGAGGAGCAUGCAAGGUAUUUAAUGGAGCAGAUUAUUGCUAGUGGUAGUGGCUCCAACCUGCCCGUAACGUACACCAACGAAGAGAGCAGCCAGGCGGACAUGUUCCUCAACAUAUCCGGUGAUGGCAAUGAAGAGCCCGAGCAAAACCUUGCCGUGACGGAAGGUUCCAGUGAGGUAUAUAUCAUUUCCAUUGUUUUACCCCAUCUAUAAUUUCAUAUUCAUUAUUACUAUGUACUAAUUAAUGGAUCUUGAACCAUUAGCCCUCUAGAUCAACGAACCGAAAUAAGCCCCGAGGUCUUACAAAGAUAAUGCAGGGAAGGCAUCACAUCACGGAAGUCACAGAAGAGGGCACAUCAGUUGCUCCCGAACAUGUGGCAAGAAAGUACGUGAGUCAAACCGGGCAAUGUGCCCAUCAGCAUUAGGGAAUGAAAGGGCAAUAGAAAUGAUCUAUACACGCCCCCGGAUACACAAAAGGAUAUGCUGUGGGCAAAUAUCAAGAAACACUUCACAUUUCCCAAAGGAUAUGUUGAAAAAGAUGUGAAAGCGUGGAUGCUGAAGAAGAUGGUCACCGAAUUCCAGACAUUCAAGAAGAUGUUGGAUGUCAACUUCAUCAAGAAGGGUCGAACUCCGGGUUUCGAUGAGUGGCCAAAGUUAAGGGACCACUGGGAGUCAUUUGUCAAAUACAAGACGAGUGAAGGUGGUGCGAGUAAGGUUCGCAUCAAUGUUGCCAAUGCUAGCAAGGAGUACCAUCAUCAUCUAGGGCGACGUGGUUACAGCACUGCAAUUCCCAGAUGGCGCAAGAUGGAACAAGACCUGAUCGAUCGGGGUAUCGUACCAGCAACUCCUGACUGGCCUGAUCGAUUGAAAAAUUGGUAUUAUGCUCAUGAAGGCAAUCUGAGCCAACAGGAUGCGACAUUGGUCUUCAAUAAAACAAUACGUCAGAAGGCCGGAAGGCUUAUUAGGAACAUUGAAAAUGCUAAAUCUGGGAGGUUCAAGGUGGAUAGAGAGAAUGAUGAGCUCACAUUGGCCCUUGGGACUAUCAUCUCUAGCAUUUCCAGCUCCAGGACUGUCGUCACCACCGGGACCGUCGCUUCUUGCUCGAUCACAGUCUCCAUCUCCAGCACAUCCUGGUGGUGCGAACGAUGACGACAACAACACCCCUCCCUGCCCACCAUCGCCGGGACUAAGACCCGCAUCGAGUAAGGAACCUGCAGCACCACUGAAGAAGUCGCGACCACCGCCUUCCAAGCCAAGUCAGCAAAAGAAGAAAGCAGAGAAGCCUAAGCCCACUGAGAAGCCAACAACCGAUAUGACCGAUGCGGAAAGAUGGAAGGCACUCAAAGAAGAAUGCAGGGAGUGGUUCUGUAAAAAGAACCAAAGAAAGAAAAGGAAAGCAGAUGGAGCCACCGCCAGUAGAUCCAAGAAAAUUAUAAUUUUUUAUUAAGAUGUCAAAAGGAGCCAAGAAGAUGAUUCCACAACUAUCAAACUACGACCGGGCGUUAGUCAAGGCUGAUGAGAGUUAAAAAAGGAAAGGAAAGUCAUCUUCAAGUGGUACUGUCCCCCACCUCGAGGAUCUACCAGAAAAAGACGCUAAAAAGAUAGUAGCAAUGCUCUUGGAUCAACAAACACAUAUAUCAUGAGAUUCAUGCAAGAAACAGGUAUGUGCCUUGCUGAAUGUCUAGGGCAAGUUGAUAUGCUAGCUCUAGAGCCAUUUGUACCGAAAUGGACCUUUGAGCUAGGCAAGCCUCUAGUAAGGCCUGAGCUGGUACAGAAGCUAUCCACAUAGCUAUAUGAAUACCAUGAAUGGUACAUGAAGCAGUCUGCCAAUGAGAGGAAAAUGUUCGGUCUCAGGGAAAAACUGAUAUUUUUUUUCGGCGAAGGCGAGAAAGUCUUGUGAUGGAAUUCAAGGAUAUAUAUGAAGUGUACCAUCAGGAUGCCCUUGAUGUCUCUCUCAUCAGCGCCUAGGUUAUGUAAGUGUAUGUUUAUCUAUACGUAAUUUUUGUCUCAUAUCAUUAUUUCUUUUGCGUGCGUCACCCUACUAACUUCGUCUUCCAUUUUAUGUAGGAUGCUAAUUCAGAUGUGCCGCAUAGAAGCGCACUUCCAUGUUGGCUUCAUGGAUCCAUCCCUAGUUAACCAAAAGCAGAUACGGAAGUAGCUAGAGAAAAUGUUGGAGGUGGUAUACAACUUCCUGGACAAACAAAACUAUAGAAUAGGGGCAAUAUGUGAAGGUCUUGUAGGAUUCCUAGUGGACAAGGUGAUAAAUCCAUAAGGAGAAUAUCAUUACAACGGACGAGCAUUAGACACACUGAGCAACACCUAGACGGGAGGAUCCUAGGAAUGACCUAGACAGAUUUUGGUAUAAAUAGUAAUUGUGUAAAUACUAGUUUGAUUUGUAUAGGAAUAUACUAAGAAUUGUAUAUAUAGUAAUUGUACAAAUACUAGUUUGAUUUGUAUAAAUACUAGAUUGAUUUUAUUAUAAAAAAGUUUUAAGUCGUACGUGCAUGCGCCUACAAAGGCGCGUAUGCCCUUUAAUCCCGGUUGGAAAAACAAACCGGUACUAAAGGGGCUCGUGCCGCACCUGGCAUGACCGCCCCUUUAGUCCCGGUUGAACGACCCAGGACCAAAGAUCUGCCCCGUCUCAUAAAUUUUAUCCUGGAUGCUUUUUAGAGAGAUUUGAGGCCUAUCAACCAAGACUAAUAUCGAGUUUUCUACCAGUGGAACUAACUAACGUUCACAUGCUUCUGACAUUCACCUGCCAUUUGGUGUAGACAAGGGCACCCUAACAUAUGGUUAAUAUUAUUCAUGAAAGAAAAUCCUUUGAUUCAAAAAUACUUCAAACCUAAUAAUACAAUACUUCUCACAUCUGAAAAAUAUGAGAUGGCCCGACAGUAUUCUAACCGACGCAAUAAUAUUUUGAGGGCAGCACUACUACAGCGACCCUCAUUCGUGCCGGUGCUGGAACCCCUAUCACGACCCUGAUACAAAUGAGGGUACAUUAUUGUUGCCAGUGCUAGAAUAGCCACGAAUAACUUGCUAAACAUGCUGUUACACUCACUACUAGAAAAAUAACCUCUCGUCCUGAGGCUUAGUACCGGUCACUUUUUUGCCCAGUACUAAUGUUAGUAUUAGUACCGGAUCCAAAUUUGGGAUCCCCCAGAGACCCUUUAGUACCAGGUGGAGUCUCCACCCGAUACUAAAGGCUUUGUUACCGGGUGAAGGAUCCUCCCGGUACUAAUGGGGGAUUUUUAGUACCGGGUGGGAACCCCACCCGAAACUAAAAUCUCCCAUGCGGACCCCUCCCCCCCCCACGCGUUGCCUCUGUCCUCCCUCCUCCUCCUCUGAGUAGUUAUCCCUUCCUCAUCCCUCCUCCUCCUCCCACACGUGGGGUGAGGUGAGGUGGCAGUAGCAACGACAGGUGGUGUGGCGGGUCACGGCGGGCCGGAUGCGGAGCCGCAACGGUGGUCGGCGGGAUGGGGUGGGGCAGAGCGGCAUGGCAGGGCGGAGCGGUGGGACGGGGCCGAGGUGGAGGUGCCGGGCGGAGGUGGAGUGGCAGGACAGAGGCGGAGGCGGAGCGGCGGGUCGGCGAGCGGGUGGAGGGUGGCGACGAUGGGGCGGGCAGAGGCAGAGGGGUGGGUGGAGGGGCGGCGUGGUCCACCGGCGGGGGGGGGGGGGGGAGAGGGAGGCGUGGGGGGUGCGGUUGGUGAUUUCAAUUUUCUUUUAAUUUUUUAACACCCUUCAGUACCAGUUAUUUUAACCGGGUCUAAAGGGAUCCCCUCUUGUACCGAAUUGCUAGUACAGGAUGCACAACCGGUACUAGAGGGAGGUUCCCAACCGGUACUAGAGCCACUUUCCCCGGUAGUGACUUUUUCACCGAUUAGAAUAUGUUAUUAUUCUAAUCAGCUUUUGUUGAUCUCCUGUAUAAUUUAGUACCUAAUUCUACUAGCAAUUGUUAACGCCGACACGUAUUGGGUAUAGUCCUAACAGUGUCUAACUAGGGCACUACAUUUGUUAACCUAUAACUACUGGUAUCGAUUAGCCCUGGUUAGAAUACUGUCAAGGCAGCCAGAAAAAAUUGUUUGCCAAUUCUGCUAUCCAUCAGAACCAUGACUAGUACCGUAUUGUAAUAAACGAAUUACACAAAUAACUGAUGCACACAAAGGAAUAUGCACUCGCAUGUGCUAGACGUUCGUAGCAACAACAAAUUACUCUCAUCAUCAAUUAAACAUAAUAGAUUAAACAUUAACUGAACAUAGUUCAACACGUACAUCAACAAGACAAAGCAGUUUAAACAUCAACUGAACAGAACUGAAAACAUACAUCAACUGAUGAUAAACUUCGACAUGAACACAACACAUAAACAUCAACUUCAAUAGAACUUAAUAGAGCAUAUUAAACAACAACAUCGACAAAACAUAUAAACCCAGCUCAGUAGCUCAAGCAUCAACUAAAACUGCUGAAUUAAAAUAACAUAACAUAGUGUAGUUCAUCAUGAUGAUAACUAACAGAACCGAAAAGCCUAACUGGGUAAAAGAGCAAUUCAUUCAUAAUGCUUCAGCACUUACAUCACCGGAGUAUGCAACUGGCGGCGUCGCUUACGUCACUAUCACCGCGCUUGGCGAGUAAAGGAGGAGGAGGUGGCAUAGUAAUCGAAGAGGAGGCCGCUGUCGGCGGGUUUAGACUACGUGGAGGUGUGGGUAGGGUUAAGGUGGCUCUGUGGACGAGUAUAUAUAAGAGGUCUGGGCUUGUUAGAAUAAGAUAACAUUCUAACUGGCCAAAUUCGGAUCCGGUUAGAAUAAAUUGUUCUAACCAGCCUUAAUUCGAGGUGGUAAGGAUAAGUUAACAUUCUAAUCAGCUCUAUUUGGAGCCCGAUUGAAUGUUCUUGUUAUUCAAAAAAAGAUCAAGUUCAUCAAUUUUUUUCUAGAAAAACAUCAAGAUAAUUUAAACACGAUAUAUAACAAGAUUAAUACAUUUAAAAAUUGUUUUCUCCAAUAAUUAACGAUAUUUAACAAAUUCAAAAAAAAUCCAAAUUAACAGAACAUAAUAACCAAUUGUUCGAAAAAAUCAAAAUAGUCCACACAGUAUCAUAUUACAAAUUCAGAAAAAUAUCAAAAUAAUCCCUGAUCCACUCGAUACCGUCGUAGAACUUUGAAAUACUGAGCUUCUUGAUUCAUCUGAGGUCCACGUACUCGUCUCAGUAACACUAGUGGUGGCCAUGCAUCUUGUAGAUGUCUUCUAAUGAAUUAAGCUUGACAUACAAGGUCGUGCCUUCCACUCCUUGAGGAUUGCUUAUGACGUUUCUGCAAAUAACGAAGCAUUGCUUUCUCCAACAUGAUUAUUUUCUUCGGCUUAUCCCAAGGGACAACUAUGGUUUUCCCCUUGCCGGAAGAGGAACGAUGAUCGCCCCCACCAUCGCCACUUCCUCCAGUAGCAGAAGCCAUCUAUGUACAAAAAUUCAUACCUUAGCACUACAGAACUUGUUGAACUUGAAGACUGUGAUCAUUAGGCGAGCAUGUUCUCAACUAGGUGGCACCGCACUUCGUCAUGGAAGAGCUUCGAUUUUACAAAAAAGGGGACAUGAUCUUCCAUGAUGUCCGUAUCCGCUCUUUCUCGUAGAAUCAGAGCUCCUCCUUGAUAUACGAUGCUGCUCGGCGGAGAACAUGCUCACCGAGAUGAACACGGUAUGCAAGUUCAACAAGUAUGGAUUUGAAAAACCAUAUUGAAUUUGACAAGACAAACUAUCUAGAUAAGCGUAGCAUCAUUCUUAAACCACUGCAAGGAUACGUACUAUAUAUGACACAUCAAUCUCCCUCACAUUCUAGCUCAAAAUACCUCUCCAUUUUCUACUUCACAUUCUAGCAAAUAAACUAUCUAUCUCCAUUCUACACAUCAAGUUGUUUUAACUAAUACAAAUCGUAUAUAACAAGCAAAAUAUCCAUCACAUUCUAGCUCAAAAACAUGUAUAAAUACAAAUCCUCUUCAUUCUCCCUUUUUCUAACAAACAAACUCAUUUUUCUCCCUCUCCAAAGCAUAAAUUAAAGCGUAACAUGAGGAUGAGGUAGCAAACCUUCACAACACAUUGGAUGAGUGAAAUUCCCACGAAAAUGAGGGAAAAAAAUUCGGGCAGCACCUCCCUUGCUUCGGCACCUCUAGAGAGUAGGUGAAGCUCAGUUCUCUAUUUUUGUGGUGGACUAGCUUGGGCUGGAGGAGGAAGAAAGGCCUCUGUCUUGGUAUAUAAUGGGGGAUGAGUUUUUAUCCCAGUUAAAAGCUCCAACUGAGACAAAACGGCCAAUCUUUUGUCCCGGUUGGAGCCUCCAACCGGGACAAAAGGGGCACGCCAUCGACGCACGGGAGCUAGCCGUUACAACCGGGACUAAAGGGGGGCCUUUAGUCCCGGUUGCAAAUACCAACUGGGAUUAAAUCUCCCCUCCAUUUUUGCCUACCGUGGUGCGCCCCCUUUUAUCCCGGGUCAACUUUAAACCGGGACAAAAGGGGGCGUCGAAGAUCAGUUCUCUACUAGUGACCCCUCCCCACCUAUCUCUCUCCCUCCAUGCUCCUCGAUCUGUGCCUCCCCUCCCCUCCCCUUCCACUCGCCCCUCACCGACGGUAAGGAGCAGCGGCGGGGCGAGGUGAGGUGGCAGCAGCAAUGGCAGGUGGUGGGUCGCAGCGGAGCGGCUACGGUAGGCAGCCGGACGGGGCAGAGCGGCGGGGCGGGGUGGAGGCGGAGGUGGCGGGUAGAGGCGGAGCGGCGAGGCGGAGGCGGAGGUGGAGGCGGAGUGGUGGGACGGCAGGGCCGGGCGACUAGUAUAGGUGGGCGGGCGGAGGGCGGCGACGGCGGAGCGGGCGGAGGCAGAGGGGCAGCGGGGGCCGCCGGCGGGGGGUGUGAUCGGGGAUUUCAAUUUUUUUUAAAUUUUUUAACACCUUUUAGUCCAACUGGUUCUAAAGGGACCCCUCUAGUAUCAAAAUUGCUAGUACCGGUUGCACAACCGGUACCAGAAGUGGUUCCUAACUGGUACUAGAGCCACUUUCCCUGGUAGAGACUUUUUUACCAGUUAGAAUAUGUUAUUAUUUUAAUCAGCUUUCGCUGAUCGCCAGUAUGAUUUAGUACCUAAUUUUACUGGCGAUUGUUACCGCUGACACGGAUUGGGUAUAGUCCUAACAGUGUAUAACUACGGCACUACAUUUGUUAACCUAUAACUACUUGUAUCGAUUAGCCCUGGUUAGAAUACUGUCAAGGCAGCCAGAAUUUUUUUUUUUUGCCAAUUCUGCUAUCCAUGAGAUCCAUGACUAGUACCGCAAUGUAAUGAAUGAACUGCACAAAUAACUGAUGCACACAAAAGAAUAUGCACUUGCACGCUAGACGUUCGUAACAACAAAUUACUCUCAUCACCAAUUGAACAUAAUAGAUUAAACAUUAACUGAACAGAAUUCAACACGUACAUCAACACGACAAAGCAGUUUAAACAUCAACUGAACUGAACUGAACACAUACAUCAACUGAUGAUAAUUAUCGACAUCAACAGAACACAUGAACAUCAACAUCAAUAGAACUUAAUAGAGCAUAUUAAACAACAACAUCGACAAAACAUAUAAACCCAGCUUAGUAGCUCAGGCAUCAACUAAAAUUGCUGAAUUAAAACAACACAACGUAGUGUAGUUCAUAAUGCUUCGGCGCUUACACCACUGGCGGGUCGCUUACGUCGGCAUCACCGCGCUGGCUGAACCUCCGACACCCCCACCACGGCAAACGGAGGUGAUGGCGGAAGGUGAGGCAACGACAGUAGCUGGUGAGCUCCCGCUCCAAUGUCUCGCGAGUAAAGGAGGAGGAGGUGGCAUGGGAAUCGAAGAGGACACUAGUAGAGAAACGACUUUCCAUCCACCCCCUUUUGUCCCGGUUUAAAGUUGGCCCGGGACAAAAGGUUCACCAACCGGGAUUAAAACUCGGUCACUGGUGGGGGGCUCACCAACCGGGACCUUUUAUCCCGGUUGCAAAGGCUAGUGGGAAAAAAUUACUCUGAGAGGCCUUUUAUCCCGGUUUGAAACACCAACCGGGAUAAAAGACCCCCCCUUUUAUCCCGGUUGGUAACACCAACCGAGAUAAAAGGGUCAAGAGCCUUUUAUCCCGGUUGGAAACACCAACCGGGAUAAAAGGGGGUCUUUUAUCCCGGUUGGUGUUUCCAACCGGGAUAAAAGGGUCCCCCACGAGUUAAUACAAAAGGAUAGUAUCCCCUACAUAGUCAGAUGUGGUGUGUAGGUGGGAUGGUAAGGAAGCUACGCGCGAGGCUGGAGGUUGUGGGUUCGAAUCCCACGAACCGCGCACGCGCAUAUUUCGCGUGAAAAAUCGCGUGACUUGCGACUUGCGCGUGUGGGGGGGCCUCCUGGGAGCUCGGGAAUUUUUUUUUUUUGCAGCGCCGGCCGUGGGUGAACCCUUUUAUCCCGGUUGGUAUUACCAACCGGGAUAAAAGGGGGUCUUUUGUCCCGGUUGAGUGACCCGGGAUAAAAGACCCCCCCUUUUGUCCCGGUUGGUUUAUCCCGGAUGCAUUUUCGAGAUCUUUGCACCCUACCAACCGGGAUAAUAGGUGAGUUCUCCACCAGUGGGAGGCCGCCGCUGGCGGGUUUAGACUACGUGGAUGUGUGGGUAGGGUUAAGGUGACGGUGUGGACUAGUAUAUAUAAGAUGUCUGGGCUUGUUAGAAUAAGAUAACAUUCUAACCGGCCAAAUUCGGACCCGGUUAGAUUAAAUUGAUAUUCUAACCGGUCCUAUUUCUAGGUGGUAAGAAUAAGUUAACAUUGUAAUUGGCUUUAUUUGGAACCCGAUUGAAUCUUCUUGUUAUUCAAAAAAACAUCAAGUUCAUCAAUUUUAAUCCAGGAAAACAUCAAGAUAAUUUAAGCACGAUAUAUAACAAGAUUAAUACAUUUAAAAAUUGUUUGAUUCACAAAUUAACGAUAUUUAACAAAUUCAAAAAAUCCAAAUUAACAGAACACAAUAACCAAUUGUUCGAAAAAAUCAAAAUAAUCCACACACAUUAAUAUAUUACAAAUUCAGAAAUAUAUCAAAAUAAUCCCCGAUCCACUCGAUACCGUCAUAGGACUUUUAAAUACUGAGCUUCUUGAUUCGUCUGAGGUCCACCUACUCGUCUCAGUAACACUAGUGAUGGCCAUGCAUCUUGUAGAUGUCUUCUAACGAAUCAAGCUUGACGUACAAGGUCAUGCCUUCCGCUCCUUGAGGAUAACCAUCUUUGGUGAUCUUGAAAUGGCAGACGGUGGAUGUGCCAAAGGUACGUGACGAUCCUUCUAAAUGUAUGCCACCACAACUUCCGUCUGAUCGCCAUGGGUGACACCAAGAAGAGCUACCAUGCGGCAAGGGACGAACAAUUUAUCAAUUAGUGCCGCUGUCCAUCGCCAUCAUCUAAUCCAGCCAUAUCUUGUUGUAUAUUUAAGUAUAGAAAUUAAGAUUUAAAAAUAAACAGAAUAAAUUGAGAUCGAUUAUGUAUGUAUAUCAGAACAUUAGCUUUUGGAAAAAGGGCUUCGAUGGAAGAGAGGCACGGGGCAUAGAGACAACAACGAGUGACAAUAUGUCAGAAGAAUACCCGAUCACAAUUAUUGGCACACACAGCCGAUAUUUACAGUAGUCAAUACCCCUGGUAAAUAACCACACCAUCAAGAGUAAAUAGUGACAAUAUGCAGUAUAUACACGACAUAGCCUUGGCUGCCGUGGAAGCACCAGAAGGGAGACAAAUAACAGGGACCACUACAUCAAGUAGAUAGUGACAAUAUGCAAAAGAAUACCCGCGCCUGUUAGCAUGUGUGAACUGACCACACCACGAAACGUGAUACACGGCAAGCGUACCAAGGCCUUGCUGUGCAGACUAUGCAUGGACAACACAUGGUACCUGACCGCUUUUGGCCUCAGACACAUCAAAAACUGCAUCGUUCCACGUUGUACAUCCAUUGCUAGUUUAUCUAUAUUACAUAAUAUAUUAUUAGCUAUUUGAAUAGAAUGAACCAAUUAAAAAAUUACGUUGUAUUUUAGUACCGGCUGCAGGAUGGUGUUACCAACCAGUACUAAUUGGCCUGUAGGAGUGAUGGUUAUUAGACUUGGUACUGUUGUUAGCAUCAUUAACCUAAUUGUGCGCCGUAUGAAUUUGGGGAUGCAAAGCUAGCUCUCUAUGAAUGUGAGGGAUGGAAAGCUAGUUCUCUAGUAGUAAUUAUAUAUAUGACAGUCAGGAAAUCGAACACUAUGCUGCUACGAGUCACCAUCAUUUCCUUCAUUGACAAUCUGACAUAGGUGAAGCUGCUUCAAUAAUUUCCUUCGCGCAGUCGUGGAGCUUAUUGGAUUAUCACCAGGACGGGACACGGAAAUGGCCAGCAAUGAAGCUGAUUGCCGUCUGAGGAAGACUACAUACUUACCUAUGAAAUGAAGCGAUUGCAUAGACUAAUGAAGCAUUGCAUAUUUGCAUGUGAGUGUGGCAGAUAAUUCUGCAGGACAUGAUUGCAAUCCACGCACCAUCGAGAAGACUGGGGCGAUGGGGUUGCCUCAUCAAUAAUCACGUGGAUGCAUGCAUGCAUGUUCCCUCAACCGGACAAGGGUCUGAUAUAUGGCUAUAGUAUUACUGAGCCCACAUCAAUAAUUUCCGCUGGUGUAUCGUGUGGGAAGAAUCAACAUACUACACCUCUGAGUUCUUGGAACUAACUGACGUUCACAUGCAACCUCCACAAGGUGCUGUAUGCUUUUGACAUUCACCUGCCAGUUCGUGUAGAGGACACCCUAACGUAUGGUUAAUAUUAUCCAUUUCAUGAGUAAAAUACUGUGAUUCAAAAAUACUUCAAAUCCCUUGAGACAAUACUUCUCACUUGACUAACCACUAACCAACCCCGAAACCCUAACUCAACUCCGAACCCUAACCCCUAACGGCAUAACCACUCCGUUUUGCCGGCGAGAUGGAGGAACUGGCUGGAAGGUAGAGAGGGCAGCGGUCCAGGGUUGAAAACGACGGGCGAGCGCAGUAACAUGUGGAGGAGGAAGUGCCACGUAUUCGUUCACCGCUAUUGGGCAGCGACACACGACACGCCCAAUAAGAUCUUCGCACGGUAGAAGGACGUCAUGUAUUCAAUAAUGUUAUUGGUCCCCCAUGUGCAGAAGGGCGCGCGCGUAUGGAAUAACAAGUAGGGACACUGCAACUAAUCUACUCUGCUCGUCCAGUCCCUAGCCUAUAAAUAGAUGCCAUGCUAGCUCUUGUUGUGCUCACAAUUAAUCCGAUUACACACGAGCUUCUCUCCCUGGCCAAGACACAACCAUAGUAUGAUGAAGAACAUGGCACUAGCCGGCAAUGGUAUGAAGAAGUUAAUCCUCGCUGUUCUCUUACUGUGUCUAGUUAUAGGGCAGAUACAAGUGGAAGCUAAGAGCUGCUGCCCAUCCACCACUGCAAGAAAUGUCUACAAUACCUGCCGUUUCACGGGUACAUCCCGUCCAACGUGUGCAAAACUGUCAGGCUGCAAAAUUAUCAGCGGGAACAAAUGCAAGCCCCCUAACGACCACCUCACCCUUGACCCGGACACUGGUAAAUAAUAAAUUUAUCUCACUUGAUUUCUUCGUGAUUUGAGUCGUUAAUGUAUUUUCCAUCUGAUGAAACGUAUUGGUUUUGCAUUGAAGAGGAAGUUAAUGUGCUUAACUUCUGCAAGUUGGGGUGUGCGUCGUCUGUGUGCAACAACAUCAACGCUGGUAAGCAACUUUUGCUCAGACAGAGAAAACAAUAAUCAUUAAUUAGCGGCAGCUAGAAUCCUAUAAUCUAAUAUAUAUAUAUAUAUAUAAUUUUAUCAGCUCUGGGAAAUGAAGAGGCGAACGAUGCCGUUGAGAGUUGCGACCAAGCCUGCUCUAGCUUCUGCAGCGUGCAUGUUGGCAGCGCCACCGUGGUUGCUUAAGCAAAUGCAUCCAACUAGAUCGUCCUUGUGCUGAAUAAUUGGAUAUCGUAUCCACUUAAAGCUGCCUUGUGUAGUACGUCUUUGUGUCUCUCUUUAUAUUCCAAUAAGGUCGGUGAUCUUGAUGCCACACACUCAGAUGUGUGUUCAUCUCCAGAUACUACUCCAUGCUACCUGCCCUUUGUGUUUUGUUCAAUAACUGGGUAUCAUAUCCCAGCCAGUAUGCCGUCUGUUUUGUGUUUGUUUCCUUCUAGUUCCAAAGGGGUCAUCAUGAUGUUACCUUCUUUCAAUAUGGUGCUUUGCAUGACUACUGUUGUAUGGUACCAUCUUGUGGCCAAUAAGUACAUCUUAUCCUAUGACCUUUGCUAUGACCCUUUGCAAAUAAGUAGAAGAUUGUUAUAAGCGUCAAUACUCCGUAUAAAUUGAUCGCUGCUGUGAGUUCCCUUUCAGCUUAUCGUAGGCAUACAUUAUUGCUAGCACGGUAAAGCCAACCAACACGAAUGAUGAAGUAAACGUAGCGGUACUUCUGUAUACCAACACCCUUACUUAAAUGUACCGGUGUCAUUCCCUACUGGCACAUAUAUUCUUAUAUGCUAGCCAGCUUGUAAAAUUAACCAAUUAAAAUAAUUAUUUCAAGAUAGAAAUAACUUAUCGGUUUCUGGAAGCAUGUGUAAUGUGAAUUCAAGGACUCGACGGAAGUUGAAUCACUUCAUCUAUAUUGCUUUCAGUAUUUUGGGUAACUAAAUUUAACAUUUGCACAUACAAAUGUUAAAGUACAAAUGUUAAAUCUAGUUACCCAAGCAGAAUAUGAAGAUAGUUUAUAGUAUAUAUAUACUAUAUAAAUCUAGUUAACAUUUAGUCUAAAUGUUAAAUCUAGUUACCUAAAAUCCUGAAAGCAAAAUGUAUAAAUAUAUAUCUUUUAAGGCAGUAUAAGCUUCGAUUCCUAUUGCUGCUCUGUUAAAUCUCAUCUUUCGUUGUGGCCCAACACUCUAGUAUGCAUGUUGCACCAAGCUUCUUUGAGCCGCUCUGCCCUCUGAUUUUGCUGCGUAGGGGAAUCUUUAUCAGGUUGGGCUACUUCCAGUUGUGCGAUGUAAAGAUUCGUAUUUUCUAGAAGGUAGACAAAAAACUCGCGUUCUCUUAAGGCAACAACCGGAAGAUUCUGCAGCGCACAGGGCAUACCAUUAUUGUAGAAACGACCUUUAGUACCGAUCUCCAACCCCCUUUAAAACUGGUUUUGCAACCGGUACCGUUAUGUCGGUCCUUUAGUACCAGAUCAAAUAAGUACCGGUUGGUAACCAGUAUCAACUUGUUUUGCGGCCAAAAAAAUAAAGAAAAAAACAGUCAGAAGGCUCGCGCACACGCGCAUCACAUGAAAUAUGCGUGUGCGGGGUCCAUGGGAUUCGAACCCAUGAAAUCAAGCUGCGCGCGACCCUUCGUUACCAUCUCACCUACAUAGCGCAUAUGCUUUCCUGAAGUAACCCGUGGAGGAGGCUUUAGUACCGGGUCAUAACACCACCCGGUACUAAAAAUGACUCUUCAGUACCGGGUCAUAACACCACCCGAUACUAGUAUCGGAUGGUGUAAUGACCCGAUACUAAAAGGCCUCUAGGGACCCUCAAAUUUGAACCCGGUACUAAUGCUAAUAUUAGUAGCGGGUCAAAGUGCAGCCAGAACUAAAGCAUGGGAUGAAAGGUCAUAUUUCUAGUAGUGUAUAGUUGUUGUGAAGGACUGACUUGGCUGUCCUCUCUCUUCUCCAUCCCCUUGGUCUUACGCCGCCGCUCGCACGCGAGCCGGUGCCCAACCAGAGGAGUGAGAGCUAGGGGCAGGUUGGGAGGUGGGGAUAGUGACUGGUGGCCAGGGUGAUGGUUGAUCCUGGUGGGGUUAGGGUUUUAGGGUUUUCGAGCUUCCUAUGGUCGGCGAACCUAGAGGAGGAGCUCAACAUCAGCUGCAACCCGCGAUGGUGGUGGUUUGGCCGGCGCCCGAGGCGAGGCAGCGCGGGAGUGCUGCCGGUGGGUUGGUGUUGGCACUCAUUAUUGACAACUAUUUUGUUCAUAAAAUAACACUCAAACUUGCUGCUGCUGCUGCUGCUGCCAUCGCCACCCUAGCCAUAAUAUAAAGGCAAAAUUUGCUAAAGGACAUGCAAAAUGAUGCUAGUUUGCUGGCGGGCAUCGUUGACCUUGUAAUAUGCUACAAGACACUCUAGUUGUGUAUCAAUUUGCUGAAAGACAUUGCUAUGACUAAAAUAAUGUUUCUGGACUGAGUUGGAGAGAGAGAUGGAGUGAAAUGUCUGUUUUGCCCAUGACCCCACUGGUCAGAUCCUUCUUCUUCCACCCUCCUUUGUUCUUUCUUCAACCAUUACCCAGCUCCAGCGUGUUGCAGAUCUACGAGGGUGGCGGCCUGGGGCGAGGGGCAUCGCUCGCCCUUGGAGGAGCGCUGCGAGCGACGGCGCGGGGGCGGCAACAGCGCGUCAGAACCUGACUGUUCGUUAGCUCCUCUCGCUGCUGGGGAAGGAGGGGGAUGGGCCAUGGACGGGGUUCCCUUGAAAACCUCAGCGUCGAGCUCGGGCGGCUACGCGCAGGCAGCACUAGGCUGCUUCACGGGGAGGGGGCGCGGCCAAUCAUUGGCACCCCACUGGUCCAAUGCUGAUGAAGAUGGUGCCAGCGUCGUGUGAGGACAUCUCAUCUCCUCGAGUUCCAUGGCCAGCACAGGUGAGCUGCCGCUACCACAAAACAGAGGUUUCGUGAGAGUCAAAAAACCUUAUGAAAAUAGCUAAAACCAUCAUGAAAAUAAUCCGUGACAUGACACUCUCACGAAAAUCCUCUCACAAAUAUGGUGCCAUGAAAAUACCAUUUUCAUGAGAGUGAACUGUCAUGAUUUUAUUUCGUGAGAGUAUUUCCUAUCAAUGACCUCCACGAAAUACUUUGUGCCACCAGGUCUUCAAGAUCAUUUUCAUGAGAGCUGAACAUCAGGAAAAGUCCGCCACAAAUGUUUUUCUUGGAGCCCCUAACUCUCAUGAAAAUCAUGCGGGCCGCCACGAAAAACAGCAUGACCAAAUGACAAAUUUCAUUUUCAUGUGUUCAUACCGCCAUGAAAAUGGUCAUUUUCAUGAGAGUUGAUGAAACAAAAAAUAGUGCCAUUUUCAUGAGAGUUCAAGCAACCAGGAAAAGACACUAAUAAACAUCCAGAUCCCAUCCAGCACACAUCCAUGCACAUAUAUAACCCACAUAUUGCUCCAGCACACAUCCAUGCAUAUACAAGAUCCAAAUGUUAAUAUAGUAGACAUCCAUGCCUGAACUAGUCUGCCACACAAGUCAUUGAUGCUACAAAUCCUACAAUCGCAGCAUGUGCAUACAAGUCACAGAAUGAGACAAUGUACCCAAAACUAAAAGGUUAGCAUCAACUGUGCUUCAACCAAAGUUGUCAUCCCAACUCUCCUCUUCAUCCAUGCCAUUCUUGUCGUGGCCGUCACUGUCAGUCCCCAUGGCAUUGCCAAUGCUGUGCAUGUCUUGGUAGGAACCUACAUGUGAUGAACUAGUAACCUGCAAAAAGAGCUCAAAGGAUCUUGUUCUCAUAUUGUAGCUGUGAAAUUCUUACAAGUAGUGUUGCAAUCAGUUCACUUUGAACCAAAAGAGCUCAAAGGAUCUUGUCCUAAAAGUUCCUCAUAAAGCUUAUGGGUUUGCUGGUGGAACUGGAAGGGCUUGAUGCAGCAGAUGCCAUUCUGCAAUAGAGAAAAAUUUAGAGAGCAGUACUAGUUAAAAUUGGAUGCAGAAGAUACACAUGAAACUAGUAUUUAUACAAGUCUAUACAAUUAAAAUCUAAGGAGACUUAUCAUCGUUUUCAUGUGUUGUGAAUUAAAAUAAUGAAGGAUACACUGUUAGGUGAAAAUUCAAGAAACAAAAUUUUGCAUAGAGAUAAAGGUCCAACAUUAUUACAAGUUAAGGUAGUUUUAAAUAUCCUUGUAAUCUUCCUUUGGUUUCCUCAACGAUUCGAAGACAAUAACCUUGCUUCUAUCAAUGAUAAUUAUAAGGAGAAUCCAGUGGAAACUGUGUAUUCGUAUUAGAACUACCUAAGGUUAAUUAGGUUAGGAAAGGAAAUUGAAAAUAGAUGGUACCCACACUUACUUAAAGUUGUCGGGCAAUAGUAUGUAAUGCUUGUAAUUCCGUUGCUCCAAGAAUUUGUAUAUGUGGUCCAAUGUAGACUUUGGUUGAUCCCGUAUCUGCUGUUGGUUAAAUAAGUGUUUCUAGCCAUUUCUAGCCAUUAGAACCGGGACUAAAGGGGGCUCUUUAGUACGGGUUGAUAUUACUAACCGGGAUUAAAGAGCCCCCAUUAGAGUUGGUUUUUGGAUGCGGAACUAACAACUCCUUUAGUCCUGAGUACGAAAACAACUGACAUAUUUGUUGCUGGAUGGAAGGUCCUUUCUCUACCGUGAAUAUUGCCAGAAAGAAUUGAAAGAGACUGCUUGCUAAAAAUAUGUCAUAGAUGUAGACCAAGCUACCAAGGAGGUAGACCAAACAUGAUACACACCAUGCGUACCUUGCUGUGCAGACUAUGCAUUGACAAGAUACCCGACCACAUGUUGGCCUCGGUCACAUCAAAAGAAUCAUGUAGGCCACCAAUAAACUACUUGAAGCGGCAUUCCGUAUCGUAUAUGCAUUGCCGGUUCAUCUGCAUUACAUUACAUAAAGCACUAUUAACUAUUUGAAUAAAAUGAACCAAUUUAAAAGUAAUGUGUUGUACUCUACUAUAGAAAGCCCUAUCACUGCCGGAUCCAAAAACAUCAUUGUUAAUGGUGGUUAAGUACCAAAUAUGACGGUCAAUAUUCUCAAGAAUAAUGGAGAAUUAGCAUUUCUUAGACACAUAUUUGGUUUUGAACAAUGUAGUUCCACAUGUCUUUGGAGAUUAUUUGGGUGUGGGUGAAAUAAUACAAAAAUAAGGAGAAAACACACUCCCAUGGCGAAGAAACACAACUCCAACCAAUGAGAGAUAGCCACAGGGGCAGCACACGGAUCCAUGGGCCCACUAACCGCAUCAAACCAUCUUACCAAGGCAGGUAGCACCCACAACCGUCAUUAGGACCCACCUGGAAGUCUACCAAGAAGAAGGUUGCGAGUGGGGCCAGGAGGGGUUCGGUUGAAUCAUCUCUAGCUAGCUCCCCUCAUCCCCAGCUGGUGGGUGGUGGUGGUUGAUGGUGUCCCUACAUCAGUUAGAGGAGAUUCCCCCAAAUAUUCCUCCUGUAAACCACCUCUAUGGACCUAUACAUAGAGGGGUGUGCUCUCCAUUCCAACACACACCACAAGUUGAAUCACUCUCUCCCUCUUUAGUUUCCAAGUUUAUGGAGUUAGGCUAGAGUAGCUCUGCUCAAGGUUCCAAGUCCACUUGGAGUUAAGCAUAUGUCUCUUGUAUCGUUAUUUCCUAAAUUGACUUUAUGCUUAGUUCUUAUAUGCAUGAGUUAGUCUAAUACCCUUGCUAUAUUGAUAUGCUCGGCUUAUAUGCUCGUAUGCUAGUCAUAUACCCUUGCUGUCGUAGUAUAGGCUUAUAUGCUCUCAUGUGUGCCUGUAGACCUUGCUAUAGUAUAUACUUGUUGUGCAUACAUACCAUGUAUAGGCUAGUCGAUCUAUACCAUGGCAUUGGUUCAAUAGCCAUGUUUUUGGUGGCUCCAACCCUAGUCACAAUAGCUCGGGACAGCUGGAGUGUUGUUAAAAAUGCAAGAGUGGUGCUUGGGUUGUUUAGCAUCGUUGGAUAUGGGUUUGCCCCACGGGUUUCUAACGGUAGGCGGCAGCUAGUGACAUCCCUGUCCGUCCUUCGUAAUCCCCCCACAUUCAGGUACGCCAUAAAUGUUCGUAAAUUAGCAGUAACUACGCCGGUACACCUGUAGGGUAUUGUCUCCCUGUAGUACCUUGGUGCAUAGAACUAAGUCCUAUACACUGUGUGUGUAUGUUUACGCUGAUAUGAUCUGUGCAGUAUAUAGGAUGUAUAUAUGAACCUAGAGCUAACUCCUAGUCCGUUCUCCAUAGCUUAGUUAUCUUGAGAUGAUUCUUCUGUAUGUGUAACACUACCCAUCUUAUCAUUAUCCUUGAUCCUGUCUUGUGUAAUAUAUCUACUCAUCCUAUGAUAUACUCAUAUGCAUAGUAAACUAUUUUGACCUACCCGCCUUCCUUUGGGAAAUAUGAUACCUUGGAAUAAUCCUAGGUGAAAUCCUACAACGGUAUAUCCAUGUAAAUGCGGAUUUAUUCAUGACCAUUAAAUAUACCAACAAUCAUCACUGUGAGUUUUGGGCGUCGUUAGUGAAGGGUUGGUAGUGAUGGGCAUCCCCUUCACCAAUGGACCUGGAACCGGCGGUGAUGGCUAUUAUAAAAAAGGGGACACCACCCAGCGUACCCCACGACCCGGCCGGCCGCACCUCCCAUCAUCCCCGCCAGCCGCCCUUCCUUUUCGCCGGCCGAGCAUGGUCCCGGCCUUUGUCCCUACCACCUCGCCUCCACCGCGACCCCCCGCCGAUGCCCUCGUGCCUGGCCCCCCUCAUCUUGCCGGCCACCCUCCCGAUGCGUCCACUGGGGCCCUCGCACCACCAACCGCCCUUGCUUAGAGAGGGAGAGAGAGGAGGGAGGUGAGGCCACGCACCUCGUCCUACACCGCCGCUGUUUCUCCUCGGCCCACCGCGCCUCACCCCACACCACAGCCGCGCCUUGCCAUCUUACCGGCUGUGACGCCUCAUCUCACCGGCCACCGUUCCUCACCCCCACUUCGGUCGUCGCCGCUCCUUGCCCUACCGCUGCUCUUUGCCGCUGCGAAUGAGCGCCGAGUGGAGGAGGAGGGAUGGGGCAGGAGGAGGGCAAGAUCCGGGAGGAAGGGAGAGAUCUCGGGAGGUGGAGAUGGAAGGAUAUGGCGGAAGGGAGAGAUCCAGAGGGAGAGAGCAGGGGAGAGAGGGGGGCGUGUGGGGAGAGAGCGCGUGUGGGGUGGGGCCGGGCUGGUGGGAUGGAAGGGAGAGGGGCUAGACGGGCGCAGUGCAUUCAACUGGAUGAAGUAAAUAUUUUGGAUUCGAGACCCCAGCUUUAUUAUCACCGCUGGUCCGUAGUACCAUCCGGUGCCUGCUCGUAAUUUAAUUUGAAUCUGCGGUGAUGUUUUAUUAUCACCAUCGGAUCAUAUAAAAAUCCGGCGGUUAAAAAUCCGCUGGUUUCGAUGAAAACCGACGGUGAUAGGAUGACUGUGAUAGUCUCUUCUCUAGUAGUGGUAUAUUAGUACCGGCUGCCGGAUGGUGUUGCCGACCAGUACUUCUCCGGGGGCGAUUCAGUACUGCUGUUAGCAAAGCUUGUUCUCUAUGAAUUUGGGGAUGGAAAGCUAGUUCUCUAGUUGUGAUUUGUUACAUAUAUAUCUAUGAUAGUCUAGAAAUUGCAUGUCCUUCGUUGACAUAGUUGAAGCUGCUUCAAGAAUUUACUUCGUGCAGUCGUGCAGCAUAUUGGAUUAUCACCUAGACAGGAUACAUAGGUGAAGCAUUGGAUGUGAUUGUGGCCGAUAAUUAUGCAGGACGCUGUUGCAAUCAACCACCAAGAAGUCUGGAGUGAUGGGGUUGCCUCAUCAAUAAUUUUUAUAUAUGGCUGCAGUAUUAUUAAGCCCACGUCAAUAAUUUUUUGUCCGCACCAUAUAUCGAUGGGGUUGCCUCAUCAAUAAUUCGCGCAACCAGACAAGCUGCAGACUCAAUAUGGUACGAAGCUAGUUGCUCAGCCCACAUGCUCUGAUAUAACAUUGACAUCUGCUGAUCUACAGUAUAUAUGACCAGAAAUAUUGUGCCCACCUCAAUAACUUUCUGAAGUAUCGUGGGGAAGAACCUACGCGUACUAUGCCUCGGAACUAACUGACAUAUCGGCCCAGGCGGUCUAGGCCGAUUGGACUGGCUCUUCCUUGUGGCUUCUCACAUCCCCUUCGUCCCCAAGUAAUUUCAGGUGUUCUGUAGUUUUCUUUUCACUUGCAUCUGAGCCUCCUAUAUCAAUAGCUUCGGGAUAAGAAUGCCUCUUGAUAACCUUCCAAAUCCUCGCUUGAUUCACAUUGAUUCCGAAAUCAUCUUGCCAUAUCUUCAGAGACUUAGGUCCUAAGGCAUCAUGGAGGAUUGCUCGCCAAGAAUGAGCACCAUUGGGCUCCUGAGGACCCUAGGCCGAUCAGCCCGGGCUCUAUAGGUCGAUUGGCCCAGGCCCUCUCUGGGCCUGUUGGCCUUCAUCUUUCUUUGAGUCGACGCUUAUUCAGGGCUUUGUCCAAUUAUAGUCCAUUAUAGUCUAAUUUCCUAAAAAACAGAAUGUCCUCCAAAAUACAAUGCAUAUGUGAAAACAACCCAAUUAUUAGGUAUGAUCAAUAGUUUAGGUAUUAAAUUAAUAUUAUUAUUUAAGAUAAACAGGGGUAAAGGGUGUCAUUAAUAACAAGCGCCAACAAGCGUCCUAGCUGUUCAAUAAAUUUUUUCUAGUACCGAUUGGUAACACUAACCGGUGCUAAUAUGUACCCUUUAUUACCGGUUAUUUUACCAGGUACUAAAGGAGACAAGAGCAUCCUAACAUAAGGUUAAUAUCAUCCAUUUCAUGAGUAAAAUACUAUGAUUCAAAAAUAAUUCAAAUCCCUUAAGACAAUACCUAUCAAAUGAGUAAAUUGUAAAUAGAGUAAUCUUGAUCAAACAAUGUCCUAAUGAAACGGAACACUUCUGGUUCGUGUAGAGCACAAUAUAGAAAACAGUAGGGUAGCUGUAUGAUUGACACGUGGUCCAUUAAUUAUUGAGCCAACACUAUGGACAUGUCUUCAUGAGUAGUGUACUAGUCAUAAUACAUGGUAUGCAGUAGGUGGAGGUAUUGACUUAGCCAUGCUAUGAGCACUUAGUUACAACAAACACUUUGCCAUUAUCGAGCAUCCCAAAUCACUACAAAAUCCAUAGUUUACCAUAUACUACAAAAUCUGAGUUAAAAUAAGAGCAUACACGGAAGAGUCCGAAUGCACGGCACAUUGAAUUACUAGACAAAAUUUAUGGGACAAGGUUUUGGGUAACCGCAUGAAAAAUAUUGGAUUUUACUGAACACUUAGUUACAAUUACCAUGCCCGUGAGCACUUAGUCACCACAAACAUUUAACCACUUUAGAUCAUCCUGAAUCCCUAUAAAUUCUAUACCUUACACCGUACCAUGAAAACGACAAGAACAGAGACAGAUGCGGUGAAAAUCUCCAGAGCAAGCCUGAAAUUAAAAUAAGAGGAGGCAGUCACUAUCGACAGGACACGGAGAUUGCUAGCCAUGACAGAGGAAGACAUGAUAUGAUAUUCACCUCUGAAAUGCAGCGUAGACUAAAUGAAGCACAAUUGCAAGUGAGUGUGGCAGAUAAUGGACCAUCGAGACCAUCGAAUGGUAUGAAGCAUGAUUAUCACCUAGACAUGAUAUCCUAGACAGGACGGUGAAUUGUAAAAAGAGUAAUCUUGAUCAAAGAAUGUCCUAAUGAAACGGAACAUUUUUGGUACGUGUAGAGCAAAAUAUAGAAAACAGUAGAGUAGUUGUACGAUUGAAACUGCAUCCAUCGACGUGGUGCAUGAAUUGUUGAGCCAACACUGUGGACAUGUCUUCAUGAACACCAUCUAGUGAGGACAGCAUGCAGAAAAAUAUAAAAACAUGUCAUAGGGAGGCAGACCAAUCUUGCGAGGUAGACGAAACGUGAUACACGAUCUGCCUACCUUGUCGUGUGGAUACCCCAAGUGAAGAUGUCAUAGAGGUGCAGACCAAGCUAGCAAGGAGGUAGAUGAAACGUGAUACACGGCCUGCCUACCUUGCCGUGGAUAUUAGUCCUGAUAUCAUUCUAUUGUUCAAGGAAUAACACUCAAUGCUGCUGCUGCUGCUGACCUGGCUCCAUAAAGUUAUAUUCCUCUAGCCGCUUGCACUAACUUUAUCUGAAGUAUUAUUCUCUCUGCACUGUAUAUAUGGUUACGGAGUUUGCUGGAGUAUCCGGGGGGAAGAACCUACAUAAUAUGUCUUGGAACUAACUGACAUUGAUUCACAGACAAGGUGCUGUUGUUGACAUGGUACAGUAAAUAAUAUAGUUUACCAUAUACCGUAUACCAUUAUAUGUUAGCUAAAAUAAGAGCAUAACAUGUCGCAGGAGUCCAAAAGCACCGGUUGAGGACCAGGUACAUUAAAUUACUAGAAAACAAAAGGGGACAAGGUUUAGGUAGCCACAUGAAAAACAUUUGAAUUUACUGUACCAUGAACACUUAGUUACCAUGCCGGGAGCACCUAGUUAACACUAACAUUUAGCCACUUUAGAUCAUCCCGAAACACCAAUGACCCUCAAUAGCGACAAAUUUUGGUUUAAAUGCCGUCACCAAUGAUCCUCAAUAGUGACGUGUUUAGGUUUAAAUCCCAUCACUAAUAACCCUUGGUAGUGACGUGUUUUGGUUUAAAUCUCAUCACCACUGAUCCUCACUAGUGACGUGUUUUUAGCAACACACGUUAUGAAUGACUUGUCAUUGGUGACAUGUUAAACGCGUUAUCUCAAUGGCAAAUCAAUGGUGACGUGUUUAAAAAAACAUGUCACUGUGAGAGUUAUUGGUGAAGGGUAAUUAAAAUGCAUCACUAAUUUUGUAGCAUUAGUUAUGAUAUAAUUUUGUAACGCAAAAAUCUACCAUAGUAAUGAGGUUUAGAGCCAUCACUAAUGUGGGUUUCUUAUCGUAGUGAUGCAAGCUCUACAAGGUGCUGUUGUUGCCAUUUUAAAGCAUCCCAAAUGACUACAAGAGUCCGGUUGAGGACUAAACAAAUUGAAUUACUAGAACCAAAUGUAUGUCCAGAACAAAGAAAGGGGUCAAGGUUUGGGUAACCGCAUUAAAAACAUUGAAUUUUACUGUACCAUGAACACUUAGUUACCAUUACCAUGCCUUGAGCACCUAGUUACCACAAACAUUAAUUUAGCCACUUUAGAGGUUCCACAAUCACUAUAAAUAAUAUACCAACACCGUACCAUGAAAACAUCAAGAAGAGAGACGGGUACAUGGACCACCAUCAAGUGAGUAGUGACAGCACGCACAAGAAUACCCGGAACCUUUUAGCUUGUCUGUAGUGAUCUGUUUUCUUCGCCACAAAUAAUGAAAGAGGCUGACCAAGCUAGCAACGAGGUAGAGCAAACGUGAUACACGUAGGUUUCAUUCAAGACAUCCAUGUAAGAUUCAUUCAAAACAUUCAUGGAAAUUUCUUGUAAGUUUUCAUGUAAAUUUCAUUCAAGACAUUUGUUAGAGGUGUUGUAUAUACACUUAACGUACAUAUAUCUAUGAUUUCAUGGUUGUUAGUGAUGGCAGAUGAGGAGCAUGCAAGGUGUUUAAUGGAGCAGAUUAUUGCUAGUGGUAGUGGCUCCAACCUGCCCGUAACGUACACCGACGAAGAGGGCAGCCAGGCGGACAUGUUCCUCAACAUGUCCGGUGAUGGCAAUGAAGAGCCCGAGCAAAACCUUGCCGUGACGGAAGGUUCCAUCGAGGUAUAUAUCAUUUCCAUUAUUUUACCCCAUCUAUAAUUUCAUAUUCAUUAUUACUAUGUGCUAAUUAAUGAAUCUUGAACCGUUAGUCCUCUAGAUCAACGAACCGAAAUAAGCCCCGAGGUCUUACAAAGAUAAUGCAGGGAAGGCUUCACAUCAUGGAAGUCACAGAAGAGGGCACAUCGGUUGCUCCCGAACAUGUGGCAAGAAAGUACGUGAGUCAAACCGGGGCAAUCGUAAGGGACAACAUGCCCAUCAGCAUCAGGGAAUGAAAGAGCAAUAGAAAUGAUCUAUACGCACCCCCGGAUACACAAAAGGAUAUGUUGUGGGCAAAUAUCAAGAAACACUUCACAUUUCCCAAAGGAUAUGUUGAAAAAUAUGUGAAAGCGUGGAUGUUGAAGAAGAUGGCCACCCAAUUCCAGACAUUCAAGAAGAUGUUGGAUGCCAACUUCAUCAAGAAGGGUCGAACUCCGGGUUUCAAUGAGUGGCCAAAGUUAAGGGACCACUGGGAGUCGUUUGUCGAAUACAAGACGAGCGAAGGUGGUGCGAGUAAGGUUCACAUCAAUGUUGCCAAUGCUAGCAAGGAGUACCAUCAUCAUCUAGGGCGACGUGGUUACAGCUCUGCAAUUCCCAGAUGGCGCAAGAUGGAACAAGACCUGAUCGAUCGGGGUAUCGUACCAGCAACUCUUGACUGGAUCGAUUGAAAAAUUGGUAUUAUGCUCAUGAAGGCAAUCUGAGCCAAGAGGAUCCGACAUUGGUCUUCAAUAAAACAAUACGUCAGAAGGUCGGAAGGCUUAUUAGGAACAUUGAAGAUGCUAAAGCUGGGAGGUUCAAGGUGGAUAGAGAGAAUGAUGAACUCACAUUGGCCCUCGGGACUGUCAUCUCUAGCACUUCCAGCUCCAGGACUAUCGUCACCACCGGGACCGUCGCUUCCUGCUCGAUCACAGUCUCCAUCUCCAGCACAUCCUGGUGGUGCGAGCGACGACGACAACAACACCCCUCCCUGCCCACCAUUGCCGGGACUAAGACCCGCAUUGAGUAAGGAACCUGCAACACCACUGAAGAAGUCGCGACCACCACCUUCAAGGCAAGUCAGCAAAAGAAGAAAGCAGAGAAGCCUAAACCCACUGAGAAGCCAGCGACUGAUAUGACCGAUGCGGAAAGAUGGAAGGCACUCAAAGAAGAAUGCAGGGAGUGGUUCAGCGAAGGCGAAGGUGAGAAAGUCGUAUGAAUCGAAUUCAAGGAUAUAUAUGAAGUGAACCAUCAGGAUGCCCUUGAUGUCUCUCUCAUCAGCGCCUAGGUUCUGUAAGUGUAUGUUUAUCUAUAAGUAAAUUUUGGCUCAUAUCAUUAUUUUUUUUGCGUGCGUCACCCUACUAACUUCGUCUUCCAUUUUAUGUAGGAUGCUAAUUCAGACGUGCCGCAUAGAAGCGUACUUCCAUGUUGGAUUCAUGGAUCCAUCCCUAGUUAACCAAAAGCCGAUACGGAAGUAGCUAGAGAAAACGUUGGAGGUGGUGUACAACCUCCUGGACAAACUAAACUACAGAAUAGGGGCAAUAUGUGAGGGUCUUGUAGGAUUCCUAGUGGACGAGGUGAUAAAUCCAUAAGGAGAAUAUCAUUCCAACGGACGAGCAUUAGACACACUGAGCAACACCUAGAUGGGAGGAUCCUAGGAAUGACCUCGACAGAUUUUGGUAUAAAUAGUAAUUGUGUAAAUACUAGUUUGAUUUGUAUAGGAAUAUACUAAGAAUUGUAUAUAUAGUAAUUGUACAAAUACUAGUUUGAUUUGUAUGAAUACUAGAUUGAUUUUAUUAUAAAAAAGUUUUAAGUCGUACGUGCAUGCGCCUACAAAGGCGCGGAUGCCUUUUAAUCCCAGUCGGAAAAACAAACUGGUACUAAAGGGGCUCGUGCCGCACCUGGCAUGACCACCCCUUUAGUCCCGGUUGAACGACCCAGGACUAAAGAUCUCCGCGUCUCAAAAAUUUUAUCUCGGAUGCUUUUUAGAGAGAUUUGAGGCCUAUCAACCAAGACUAAUAUCGAGUUUUCUACCAGUGAAACUAACUAACGUUCACAUGGUUUUGACAUUCACCUGCCAUUUGGUGUAGACAAGGGCACCCUAACAUAUGGUUAAUAUUAUUCUUGAAAGAAAAUCCUUUGAUUCAAAAUACUUCAAACCUAAUAAUACAAUACUUCUCACAUCUGAAAAAUAUGAGACGGCCCGACAGUAUUCUAAUCGACGCAAUAAUAUUUUGAGGGCAGCACUACUACAGCGACCCUCAUUCGUGCCGGUGCUGGGACUCCUAUCACGACCCUGAUACAAAUGAGGGUACAUUAUUGGUGCCAGUGCUAGAACAGCCACGAAUAACUUGCUAAACGUGCUGUUACACUCACUACAGGGACCAAGAAGGUAGAUAAAUUACACGACAUAGCCUUGGUUGCCGUGGAAGCGCCAAGAAGGGAGACAAAUUACAGGGACCACACCAUCAAGUAGAUAGUGACAAUAUGCAAAAGAAUACCCGCGCCUGUUAGCAUGUGAACUGACCACACCACGAAACGUGAUACACGGCAAGCGUACCAAGGCCUUGCUGUGCAGACUAUGCAUGGACAACACAUGGUACCUGACCGCUUUUGGCCUCAGACACAUCGAAAAACUGCAUCGUUCCACGUUGUACAUCCAUUGCUAGUUUAUCUAUAUUACAUAAUAUAUUAUUAGCUAUUUGAAUAGAAUGAACCAAUUAAAAAAUUGCGUUGUAUUUUUAGUACCGGCUGCAGGAUGGUGUUACCAACCAGUACUAAUUGGCCUGUAGGAGUGAUGGUUAUUAGACUUGGUACUGUUGUUAGCAUCAUUAACCUAAUUGUGCGCCGUAUGAAUUUGGGGAUGCAAAGCUAGCUCUCUAUGAAUGUGAGGGAUGGAAAGCUAGUUCUCUAGUAGUAAUUAUAUAUAUGACAGUCAAGAAAUCGAACACUAUGCUGCUACGAGUCACCAUCAUUUCCUUCAUUGACAAUCUGACAUAGGUGAAGCUGCUUCAAUAAUUUCCUUCGCGCAGUCGUGGAGCUUAUUGGAUUAUCACCAGGACGGGACACGGAAAUGGCCAGCAAUGAAGCUGAUUGCCGUCUGAGGAAGACUACAUACUUACCUAUGAAAUGAAGCGAUUGCAUAGACUAAUGAAGCAUUGCAUAUUUGCAUGUGAGUGUGGCAGAUAAUUCUGCAGGACAUGAUUGCAAUCCACGCACCAUCGAGAAGACUGGGGCGAUGGGGUUGCCUCAUCAAUAAUCACGUGGAUGCAUGCAUGCAUGUUCCCGCAACCGGACAAGGGUCUGAUAUAUGGCUAUAGUAUUACUGAGCCCACAUCAAUAAUUUCCACUGGUGUAUCGUGUGGGAAGAAUCAACAUACUACACCUCGAGUUCUUGGAACUAACUGACGUUCACAUGCAACCUCCACAAGGUGCUGUAUGCUUUUGACAUUCACCUGCCAGUUCGUGUAGAGAAGGACACCCUAACGUAUAGUUAAUAUUAUCCAUUUCAUGAGUAAAAUACUGUGAUUCAAAAAUACUUCAAAUCCCUUGAGACAAUACUUCUCACUUGACUAACCACUAACCAACCCCGAAACCCUAACUCAACUCCGAACCCUAACCCCUAACGGCAUAACCACUCCGUUUUGCCGGCGAGAUGGAGGAACUGGCUGGAAGGUAGAGAGGGCAGCGGUCCAGGGUUGAAAACGACGGGCGAGCGCAGUAACAUGUGGAGGAGGAAGUGCCACGUAUUCGUUCACCGCUAUUGGGCAGCGACACACGACACGCCCAAUAAGAUCUUCGCACGGUAGAAGGACGUCAUGUAUUCAAUAAUGUUAUUGGUCCCCCAUGUGCAGAAGGGCGCGCGCGUAUGGAAUAACAAGUAGGGACACUGCAACUAAUCUACUCUGCUCGUCCAGUCCCUAGCCUAUAAAUAGAUGCCAUGCUAGCUCUUGUUGUGCUCACAAUUAAUCCGAUUACACACGAGCUUCUCUCCCUGGCCAAGACACAACCAUAGUAUGAUGAAGAACAUGGCACUAGCCGGCAAUGGUAUGAAGAAGUUAAUCCUCGCUGUUCUCUUACUGUGUCUAGUUAUAGGGCAGAUACAAGUGGAAGCUAAGAGCUGCUGCCCAUCCACCACUGCAAGAAAUGUCUACAAUACCUGCCGUUUCACGGGUACAUCCCGUCCAACGUGUGCAAAACUGUCAGGCUGCAAAAUUAUCAGCGGGAACAAAUGCAAGCCCCCUAACGACCACCUCACCCUUGACCCGGACACUGGUAAAUAAUAAAUUUAUCUCACUUGAUUUCUUCGUGAUUUGAGUCGUUAAUGUAUUUUCCAUCUGAUGAAACGUAUUGGUUUUGCAUUGAAGAGGAAGUUAAUGUGCUUAACUUCUGCAAGUUGGGGUGUGCGUCGUCUGUGUGCAACAACAUCAACGCUGGUAAGCAACUUUUGCUCAGACAGAGAAAACAAUAAUCAUUAAUUAGCGGCAGCUAGAAUCCUAUAAUCUAAUAUAUAUAUAUAUAUAUAAUUUUAUCAGCUCUGGGAAAUGAAGAGGCGAACGAUGCCGUUGAGAGUUGCGACCAAGCCUGCUCUAGCUUCUGCAGCGUGCAUGUUGGCAGCGCCACCGUGGUUGCUUAAGCAAAUGCAUCCAACUAGAUCGUCCUUGUGCUGAAUAAUUGGAUAUCGUAUCCACUUAAAGCUGCCUUGUGUAGUACGUCUUUGUGUCUCUCUUUAUAUUCCAAUAAGGUCGGUGAUCUUGAUGCCACACACUCAGAUGUGUGUUCAUCUCCAGAUACUACUCCAUGCUACCUGCCCUUUGUGUUUUGUUCAAUAACUGGGUAUCAUAUCCCAGCCAGUAUGCCGUCUGUUUUGUGUUUGUUUCCUUCUAGUUCCAAAGGGGUCAUCAUGAUGUUACCUUCUUUCAAUAUGGUGCUUUGCAUGACUACUGUUGUAUGGUACCAUCUUGUGGCCAAUAAGUACAUCUUAUCCUAUGACCUUUGCUAUGACCCUUUGCAAAUAAGUAGAAGAUUGUUAUAAGCGUCAAUACUCCGUAUAAAUUGAUCGCUGCUGUGAGUUCCCUUUCAGCUUAUCGUAGGCAUACAUUAUUGCUAGCACGGUAAAGCCAACCAACACGAAUGAUGAAGUAAACGUAGCGGUACUUCUGUAUACCAACACCCUUACUUAAAUGUACCGGUGUCAUUCCCUACUGGCACAUAUAUUCUUAUAUGCUAGCCAGCUUGUAAAAUUAACCAAUUAAAAUAAUUAUUUCAAGAUAGAAAUAACUUAUCGGUUUCUGGAAGCAUGUGUAAUGUGAAUUCAAGGACUCGACGGAAGUUGAAUCACUUCAUCUAUAUUGCUUUCAGUAUUUUGGGUAACUAAAUUUAACAUUUGCACAUACAAAUGUUAAAGUACAAAUGUUAAAUCUAGUUACCCAAGCAGAAUAUGAAGAUAGUUUAUAGUAUAUAUAUACUAUAUAAAUCUAGUUAACAUUUAGUCUAAAUGUUAAAUCUAGUUACCUAAAAUCCUGAAAGCAAAAUGUAUAAAUAUAUAUCUUUUAAGGCAGUAUAAGCUUCGAUUCCUAUUGCUGCUCUGUUAAAUCUCAUCUUUCGUUGUGGCCCAACACUCUAGUAUGCAUGUUGCACCAAGCUUCUUUGAGCCGCUCUGCCCUCUGAUUUUGCUGCGUAGGGGAAUCUUUAUCAGGUUGGGCUACUUCCAGUUGUGCGAUGUAAAGAUUCGUAUUUUCUAGAAGGUAGACAAAAAACUCGCGUUCUCUUAAGGCAACAACCGGAAGAUUCUGCAGCGCACAGGGCAUACCAUUAUUGUAGAAACGACCUUUAGUACCGAUCUCCAACCCCCUUUAAAACUGGUUUUGCAACCGGUACCGUUAUGUCGGUCCUUUAGUACCAGAUCAAAUAAGUACCGGUUGGUAACCAGUAUCAACUUGUUUUGCGGCCAAAAAAAUAAAGAAAAAAACAGUCAG
rnacentral:lncRNA from 1 species